AGUUGACCGAUGACCGUUGACCGUUGACCAGAGUUGACCUAUGUUUGACUUCUUAGGGAUAGUCAAACUUAGAAGAUAAAAGUGUUAAUAAGAGAUGUAUGAUGUUAUAGGGAGAUUGUAGCUCGGCGGAUCGAGCACGAGUGACUUUGGGAUUUGCUAGCUUUCGAUAUUCACGAGGUGAGUCUUCUCACUAUACCGUACCCAGAAGGGUUUGAUUGUGUGACCGGAAGGUCGGAUAUGAUAUGAGAUAUAUGUGCUAUAUGUGAUAAGAUAUUUGUUAUGCGUGCUAUGUAUGUUUAUGUGGGCCGGAAGGCAUUAUGUUAUGGGCCGGAAGGCGUGUAAUCUGGUCCGUAAGGUUGGCGUGGGUAGGACCGGAAGGUUUACCCAGCAGGGACGGAAGUCCCCUGAGACACAUGGACCGGAAGGUCAGGGCCUGGAAAGGCGUAUGUGCGUAAGUUGUAUUUUGGGGAACUCACUAAGCAUUUAUGCUUACAGUUGUUGUGUAUGUGUUUCAGGUACUAGCGAGGACCAUGGGAAGGCGCCGGUGUGAUCUGUACACACUGAUAGAUGUUUUGUGAUCUUGGGAUUCAUAUGAUUUGUAUUCUGACAUGACACUAGGAAUGUUUAUACCUUGUUUUGAAUGAAAAUACUUUAUUUUGAAAUGAAAAAUUUGUUUGAAAAUUUACGUUGUUACACAUUUAAAGGAAGUUCAGGUUCUGCUUCGGGUUCUGCGUUUAGCACUUCUCCAUUCUCUUGGCCGGGAAAGUAAGGGUCGUUCGGGAAAUGGAAUCCAACCAUUUAUGUCUAAGCGAGAAUAAUUGUAAAAAGAAAUUACCAAUUCUAUAAUAAAGUGAUAAACAAACAAAAAGUUUCUAUAUGGGAAAGUUACUGCUACUCCUAAGAAGUUUGUUCUUUGAAUGAAUAGUGUCUAAAACAUUCCUAUAGUAUUUUAAUUUAUGUUUUGUUCUCAUGCUCUUUUGUAUAUGAAGUAGUAUCAUUUCGCAAAUUUUAGGUUUGUUGCAACACCCCAAUCGCUCACUCACACACGUUCACCGUAUCUCAAAUAAAUAUAGUUGAUUAGGCUAUAUUUAUCCCAAAUAUGAUUACAUAACUGCCAAGGUUUGACUGUUGUGUCCCACAAUUAAAUACUUUUGCAAUGUUCUAGUAUGGCACUGUUCUAUAGUUAGUAUGUAGGUAUGUAGAUAUGUAUACCUAGUUUAAGUAACUAUAAACUCUUAUUCAAAGUCUUUUUAAUCCCUAUGAGUUUAUAGUUUGUAUAUCUUUUAUGGGUUGAUAUACCUGAUUCACUAUAAACAAUGCUCUGAUACCAAUCUGUCACAACCCAAAACCUGAACGGCAAACAUUUAGGAGUGGAGGACAUCAUGUACAAUAUCAUAACAAUGCAAAGUAGUAAACAAGCAACAACGUCAUCCACUGCAUUAAUAGUAUAGUUUAAUUCAUGUGUGUUCUUUAAUAGUAAUAUGACACCAAAACAAGUAAUCAAAAUAAAAGACGAGUCUUGAACGCUCCGCCUUCUCAAAACCUAGCCAUCUUACCUGUCUACUAGCGACGUGAGAAUACAAGUUAUUUUGAAAGUGCAGAUCAACAUUUAAGCUGGUGAGUUCAUAAGUAUUUAAUGUCAAUGUUUUUAUAUGUUUGGAUGAAAAUGUUUGUAAAUGUUCAAUGUAAAUGUUUGAAUAUGUUUGAAAACCCCUAGAAAAUCCCAUAUUUCCUACUAGUAUAACAAGUUGUCUUCUACCAAGACAUGACUGUUUUGAAUGUUUGUUUCUCUGUAAAAGAGGAUGUUUUUCCCUAUGUUAUAACUAUCUUAACUCGGAAAUAGCUUGCAUUGGCUUUCAAGUAGCACUGAAACUAUAUGAAAGUAAUGGAAAAAGUAAGUACACAAGGGUAUUUAGAAUUGACAACCUGUAGUACUAAUUACCUGAAAACAUAUUUGUUUCCUUAAGGUCAUAAUGUGAUGAGUAGUUCCCAUACUAAGCAUUCUCCCUACAAGAGAUUCUGGGAAACAAGAGUGACUUCCGCAACGAAUUUCUAGGUCGUAAUAUCCACAGUAAAGUUAUAUAAUCAUGUAUACCCAAUUUAUUAUCACCAUUUGUUUAAAACAAUGCGUUAGUGAUCAUUGGUAUAGUUAGAUCCUGUAGUUGUUCCAUGCUAUAGCAUCUUAGUAUGUUCUUUCUGUUAUACUAUUUUAGUAUGUACUUGUAUAUGAUAGUAUUCUCUGUGUGUACUUGUAUAUGAUAGUAUUCCCUGUUAUAGAAUUCUCUGUCUAAUAAUUGUAUAUGAUAGUGUUCUCUUUGUGUACUUGUAUAUGACAGUAUUCUAUGUUAUAGUAUUCUUCUUUGUAGUAUUUGAAUGAUUAACUGGUAGUUUUAUAUCUACACAUGUAUACAUAAUAUAUAACAAACGUUUAGACGACCUUCAUACAAUUAACCGAUUAAUCUAAGUACACAUCCAAACAAGGAAAAGGAAAUAAAGUGGGUUAGUAGUUCUAUGUCCUUUAAACAUUACUUACAUAACUAUACAUAUAUAGACAUGCAUUCGACAAUUUAUAAGUUAAAAAGGAAGUUUUGUAAAGCCUUUUGAAGUGGUUAAUAAUAAUUAUGGAUUACUUGAUGUCUAUUUAUAAAACGAUUUAAGAGUUGUUUGUUUCAAACACAGUUUGAAGUAUGUAAAAUCCUAUUAUUUGAAACACAAUUUGAAGUAUGUAAAAUCCUAUUAUUUGAAACACAGUUAUAAAUCACAUGUGACUGGUUAUAUAACUAUAUGUUUUCUACUUGUAUCCCCUCCUCCCAUAAAAGCAUUUAAAAUCAUUUAAAAGGAUAGAUUAAGGGGUAUGAACCCACCUGCUGUGAGUGGUUUGGAUGAACGGAUGGUAUAGGAUGCUAAGGGUCAAGUGAAGACUUGAACACACACACGGAUCCUAUUUAACACAUAAUGACACAUAUAUGUAUCUAAUUUGUGAUUAAACAACUAAUUUAACAAGUAUAGGCAUCCUAGAGCAUGGGAAACACUUUGAUUCAAGAGUUAUAACCACUAAAGGGUUGCAUCUAAGGGUUGUAUGGCUUUACUUUGGAGUUUACGGCCCAAGGACCAACUCUUCAUAAGUUUACGGCCCGGGGUAAUUUCCCCAUGAUUUUACGGUCGUAAACUCAUGGUAUUUUGCACCAAGUUGUGUUAGAUAGUCUUAUAAGUCAUAAUAAAGUGUCCUAUGAUCAAGUCUAAGACUUAGGAAGGAAUUAGAGUUCAUAUGCACCCAUAAAUAGAGUUUACGGCCCAAGUAGAUUGCAUUGGACAUAAACUCCCUUUUGAUCUUGAUUUUGUGUUGCUUUCAAGGUGUAAACUGAUUGAUUUAGUCAUAUAACAAGAUAGGUUAAGCGUACUUACAAUAUAGAAGCUUGUAAAGGUGUUUAAAGUCAAAGAACACUAGUGUGUGUUCUUGGUGUUCUUGGUGAAAUGAAGAACACUUGAAGAGCUAUGAAAAUGAAAGGAUUUCAUGGAUGAAAUCAUGAGUGAAUCAAGAAGAAGUGAUAUAACACAUAGGCGAAGUGAUUUACUUACAUUGUUGGAAGAUUUGGAAGCAAAAGUCUCAAGAUCUUUGAGAGAGAAUUCCGAGUUCUUGGGUUUGAAGGGUGAAAAGUGAUUAAAAUGACUAAGGAAUAUAUAUAUAUAUAUAUANAUAUAUAUAUAUAUAUAUAUAUACUAAGGGGUUUAUGGCCACCUUGAGUUUACGGCCAUAAACUCCAAGGUUUUGGUCGUAAACUCCUCUUUUGAGGGCUUAGGGCUUGUUUGACAGAUUACCAAUUCAACUGACACUCCCAUUCACCUAUUGCUUUGAUGUACUUUAAGAUUAAAACACCUAAACAGACUCCAAAAGUGCUAAAGUUAGCAGAAGUAAGUUUGACUUCGAUUGAAUGUAGGGUUUGUACAAGGUAGAAAUUUUGGGUUGUCACAUCAUCCCCCCGUUAGAGAGAAUUUCGUCCUGAAAUUAGAAUUUAAGUAGAAUUGAUAACUAUGCUAUAGAUAGAAGUUCCAUUUGAUCGUCGUGUUCCCAAGUGAAUUUGGGUCCUCGCUUGGCAUUCCAGCGAGCCUUUUACUAUCGGGAGUAGAUAAGUAUGUCAUCGACGAAGACAAUGACGAACUAAUCCAAGAAAGGAUUGCAGACCCUAUUCAUUAGAACCAUGAAUAUUACUGGUGUGUUAGUUAACCUGAACGGUGGUCACUACAAACUCGUAGUCUCCCUAACGAGUUCGGAAGAUUGUCUUGGGGACAUCCUCCUCUAGUACCCGUAACAGGUGCUACCAGGAUCUUAGAUAUAUCUUCAAGAAGUAGUUCGCACCUUGAAGUUGAUUAAGAAAGUCGUCAAUGCAGGGUAGAGGAUAAUGGUUGUUAAUAGUAGCUUGUUCCAUUCUCUGUAGUUAAUACACGUACGGAAUGAUCCGUCUUUCUCCUUUACGAACAAGACCGGUGCUCCCCAUUGGUGAGAAACUUGGCCUAAUAAAUCCCUUUCCAAGAAGUUCACUAAGCUGACUGGAUAGUUCUUGCAUCUCUGCUGGAGGUAGGUGAUAAGACGACUUGACUACUAGGGUAGCCCAUGGAACUAAGUUGAUUCGGACAUCGACUUGGCACUGUGGUGGUAAUCCCUGUAGUUCUUCUGGAAAAAAAUGUCGGGAAAGUCGCAUACUUCGGGAAAGUUUUUCACUUCUUGGCUCGUAUCAACAAUGUGUGCAAGGAAAUGUAUGCUAUUCCCUUCGUAAGCACUUCUGAGCUUGAAUGCUUGAAAUAAUGCGAAGGUUCGUACUUGGUUUGUCGUCGUAAAUAGCUAGAGGUUCGUUGAAAGGGAGGUUAAUAUGAAUUCCUUUCUCAAAGCACUUGAUGUUGGCUCGAUGUAGACUCCACCAAUUCAUACUGAUUUUGAUGCCAAAACUUUAUGGUGGGUUAAAUGUCGUGAAGACCGAAAAUAAAGUGUGAUUUCUCAUGAAUUAAGGAAAAAUGAUAGAUACUUAAGUUCCAUCUACAUCUCUCGCCCUGAUCCGCGGGAAGACAUUUGUUUGUCUUCUAAGUUAUUUGCAUUGUGGCACGGUCACUCUUAGUCUUGAGCAAUCUCCCUCCUGAAAUUCAUAAUACAACUCAUACCUGCUUCAUCAAUCACAGUCUCAGGUAUACGAGUCGUACAUAAUUACGGUUGAAAAGGCAGUCGAAUAAAUGAUUCUUCUCUAAGCUCACAUCCAAACAAGGAAAAGAAGUUAAUGCAGAAUCAUCAAUUCUAAACCUGUAGAACCUUGAUUAUGUACCACCCUUGUGUAUACAUUCCUUAGUGCGUAUACAUUCCUCAGUGAUAGAUUAACCAUACGGGUCUUCUAAUUGAGCUUGACGUACUGUAUGAGUGGUAUUCUGGGGAGGUUUGCUAAGGUUACUUGGGGAAAGCCACGGAGCCUAAGGCAAUCUACGCAUGAGUGCCUCGGAGUUUUGGAACGACGGCUUCACUAAAAAGUCGAUUAUAAAGACAAGAUUUUUCGCACGAAACUGGCACAAUGAGGAUCGAAUCGACUCAAGUCAAAUGACAACGUCAGACUACUUGGAAUAAUAGGCGUUAGACUAGUUCAGAACAGUGUUACAAGAACAUAAUGGUGCAUCUUAUGACGGAGUUUCAAUACUUUAGUUUUGACUAUGAUGCUACUGUUGCGAAUAAGGUAUACUGCAUCAAGCAUAUAUAAGCAGCACAAGAGCCCCUAGAACUAAUGGGAUCUUGCAGAAAGAUAUGAAUCGAGUUGCACUAGUUUUAUACAAGUGAUAAGAGUUGAUUCGAACGAGGGUGAAAUUAUGAGUGUAAUUAAUUACUACGGUUUCGAAGUGUACCUAUAAUAUAGCAAGAUCCUUCGAUGUCUUUUGUUGGUCUGGGGUCAAACUCCUCCUGUUCCCCCGUCUUUCUCCUCUGUUGGGCAGUCCCUUUUGAAAUGUCCCAUUACGCCGCAUAGAUGGCAUAUCCCAAAAAUAUCAACAUUGGUGGUCGAAGUAAUGUGCUGGAUGCGAGUCCUAGAGAAACAGGUAGUGUGCCCGUUCUUGUUGCAGUCCUUGCAGUGUAACUGUCGGCAACUACCUAGAUGAUGGAAGCUGUACUUAUUGCACUUCGGUAGAUUUCCAGCAUACUGUCUGGUUGGGAUAGGGGUAACCGAGAUACUAGUAGGGAUGGUAGUACGAGUUACAGAAAUCGUGGCUGUGAAGGAUGCCAUAGGUUGUCGUCUUUUGUUCGUCCCUUGGGGUGAUUUGCCUUUAAAUCUAUACCAGAACUUUCGUUUAUUGCUCUUAGGUUUGAGAUUCGGGGUGUCGUGGUAGUUGGAUACUGGUUGAUGUACUUGGUUGUUACUUUGAUUGGAAUUAUUGAUAACCAUCCCGCUAACAUUUGCAUUCUUAACGUUUAGGUGAGUCAUGAAAGCUGUCGCGGCAGCUGAGACUGCAGCUUUAAAGGUAGCUGCAUCUAUCUGAAGAGUUCGUGUUUUGUUGAUGGGUUGUUUACUUUACUUCGACGGCAUGAUUCUGUUACGAGAUAAGAAAAUGAGUUCGUGAGCGAUUAUCGUUGGCCUCAGAUGUAUUCUAAUUAUUCAUGUAAAUAUAAAUUUUCUGUUUUGUUAAAUUGUUCUCGAUGGUUUGACCUACGUCCCUAUGAUGCAGUCCUAGUACAAUGGUAGAAAUAGGUUUGUUGAAUGGUCAUAAGUUGAUUAUCAUCCGAACUAGGCUAUCAUUGGUUGGUGGAUAAAAUGAUCCAUCAUUUGAAAAGAAUUGGAAGUGAUCCAUGAGCUAAGUUACCAUAGUUUAGUAAAUUAACUAGGGUGAGAUUUAGACAGAGUUCUAACGUUCAAAGGACGAAAUUAUUUGGACAAAGUUUUUUCGGGAACUAUCCGAUUUUCAAACCAUUGAUAUUUAAGAUGUAGUAAGUUCGGGGAAAAUUGACCUUGAAGUAGGUAUUACAUCAUAUUAGGAGUAGGAAAACUUUGACAGAAUAAAGUCUAAGUGAAAUAGUACCUACAGUACUGGGAUAGUUACAUAGGAAAGUUCUACAUAGAGCGUUGAUAUGGAUUCUAUCCCUUAAACCAAAAGGAAGAAAUGUAAUGCAUCUCUUACUAGUUACGGGUAUCCCUCGGAUGAAACCUUAGUUCAGCCAGCUGACGCUACAUAUCAAGCAGGUGCCUUUCAUACACCCUUUGGUGUACUCGGAGCUCUAUGACUUUGGCUCGAGUUUCAGCUAGUGCUUAUAGUAGGGCCUCAUGGUCUCUCCUAGAUCUCUCACGAGCAUCUUCAAGAUGAAUGGUGCUGGCGGUAUGAAUUUUUGCAUUGGCAUCAACCUCCAUGAUGCGAUGAAGAGCUUACCUGCCCUGGAUUUUGUUUCGGGCAACCCUGCGGACAAAGAUUGGCAAGACUCUAUCUGCUGAGCCUGCUUCGCUCAGGUCAUAAAAGCUUCAGUCUCCAUUGAAUAACAUGGGCUGAUUCUGCUCUUGACUCCAUGUUUCCAAGCUUUCCACCCAAAUAGGCGUUGGGCCUUGAAAAAACGGACAAGGGAUGGAUUUGGGAUUAGAGCCACUAGGGGUAGAUUCUCAACUUCUGGCUCAGGAUCAGGAUCCUCUGCAAAAUCUUCUGCCAAAUCAUCAUUUAAAGGAAGUUUAGGUUCUGCUUCAGGUUCUGUGUUUAGCCCUUCUCCAUUCUCUUGGCUGGGAAAGUAAGGGUCGUCAGGGAAAUGGAAUCCAGCCAUUUAUGUCUAUGUCAGAAUAAUGGUAAGAAGAAAUUAGCAAUUCUAUAAUAAAGCGAUAAAAAAAUAAAAAGUUUCUACAAGUGAAACUUACUUCUACUCCUAAGAAGUUUGUUCUUUGAAUGAAUAGUGUCUAAAACACCCCUAUAGUAUUUUAAUUUAUGUUUUGUUCUCAUGCUCUUUUGUAUAUGAUGUAUUAUAAUUUGGUAAGUUUUAGGUUUGUUGCAACACCCCAAUCGCUCCCUCACACACGUUCACCAUAUGUCAAAUAAUAUAGUUGAUCAAACUAUAUUUAUCCCAGAUACGAUUACAUUACUGCCAAGGUUUGACUGUUAUGUCCAACAAUUAAAUACUUUUGUUAUGUUAUAGUAUGACACUGUUCUAUAGGAAGUAUGUAGGUAUGUAGAUAUAUAUACUUUUAGUUUAAGUAUUUUAGUAGUUAUAAAGUAUAAACUCUUAGUCAGAGUAUUUUUAAUCCCUAUGUGUUUAUAGUUUGUAUAUCUUUUAUGGGUUGAUAUACCUGAUUCACUAUAAACAAUGCUCUUAUACCAAUGUGUCACACCCCAAAACCUGAACUGCGGAAUCGUUCAGGGGUGGAGGGCGUCAUGUACAGUAUCAUAACAAUGCAAGGUAGUAAUCAAGCAACAACAUCAUCCAUUACAUAAAUAGUAUAGUUUAAUACAUGUGUGUUCUUUAACAGUAAUAUGACACCAAAACAAGUAAUCAAAAUAAAAGAAGAGUCUUGAACGCUCCGCCUUCUCAAAACCUGGCCAUCGUACCUGUCUACUAGCGACCUGAGAAUACAAGUUAUUUUGAAAGCGUACAUCAACAUUUAAGUUGGUGAGGUCAUAAGUAUUUAAUGUCAAUUUUUGUAUAAGUUUGAAUGAAAAUGUUUGUAAAUGUUCAAUGUAAAUGUUUGUAUAUGUUUGAAAACCCAUAGAAAAUCCCAUAUUUCCUACUAGUAUUAAAAGUAGUCUUCUACCAAGACCCGACUGUUUUGAAUGUUUGUUUGUCUAUAAAAGUAGAUGUUUUUUCCUAUGUUAUAACUAUCUUAACUCAAAAAUAGCUUGCAUUGGCUUUCAAGUAGAACUCACACUAUAUGAAAGUAAUGGGAAAAGUAAGUACUCAUGGUUCUUUAGAAUUAACAACCUGCAGUACUAAUUACCUGAAAACAUAUUUGCUUCCUGAAGGUCAUAAUAUGAUGAGUAGUUCCAAUACUAAACAUCCUCCCUACAAGAGAUUCUGGGAAACAAGAGUGACUUCCGCAACGAAUUGCUAGGUCGUAAUAUCCACAUUAAAGUUAUAUAAUCGUGUACGCCCAAUUCAUUAUCAUCUUUUGUUUAAAACAAUGCGUUAGUGAUCAUUGGUAUAGUUAGAUCCUGUAGUUGUUCCAUGCUAUAGAAUCUUAGUAUGUUCUUUCUGUUAUAGUAUCUUAGUAUGUACUUGUACAUUGUCACACCCCAAAACCAAAACGGCAGAAACGUUCGGGGGUGGAGGACGUCAUGUUUAGUAUCACAAGAUAUGUAUAUGGUAAGCAAGUAAUAAACAACCAUUUCAUUUAGAAAGAAAGUGUUUACAAUGUGUGUGUUCACAAAACAUAGAAGUCAUAAACAAAUAAUAAAACAAGACUUGAAGCUAUAAUGCUCCAUCUUCUGAAUUCUCAGCACGAGCACCUGUCUAAUAGUCUCCUGAGAAUAGAAGUUAUUUGAAAGAGUUGAUCAGCAAUUAAGUUGGUGAGUUCAUAAGAUUUUAGUGAUGUGAGUAAGCUGUAAAAUGUGGUUGAAAAUGUAUAUGCACAAGUGAUGUAAGUUGUUAGUUUUGUUUUGAAAUGUUCGCUUGUUCCUCUAGAAAAUCCUAUAUUUCCGACUUGAAUGAAAGUUAAGUAAAAUGACACUACAAGCCGUUCUAUGGGUACUAAGUGGGUACAAGUUAUGUAUACUCAGAGUAAAUAAACAAUCGAUUGUGUCCAUCUGCCCUAAGCUCACAACCCAACGGGGAACAGAGAGUAAGGCGGAUAGGACACAUUCCAUUGGUUGUUAGAUAAUCGUCAUAUACAACCCAGGUGUAUUCACUUGUUACUCAUGGAGUUAUUUGUAAUGGUUCCUUUAUAUCUAAUGAAAUGUUCUUUUAAGAAAAGCUAUAUUUCUUAUAGUAAAAUAUUGACCACAGUGACUACUUUUAUAAUAGCUUUGUUUAUACUGCUAUAUAUAAUCUGAUAUCGGGUAGAAAUCUAACUGAGUGAAUCUUCCCUAAGCCCACAAUCCAACGGGAACAAGAAGUAAGGCGGAAAACACACAUUUAACUAUCUAUUAGAUAUUAGCUUUAUAUAUAAACAUGGUGUAUAAACUAAGGUGUUAUAGAGUCCCUCACCUAAAGUCUCUAAAACUGUACUGGCUUAAUAAAAUGGAUUAAGCCCUUAUCUAGGAAAUCUCUAGUUUAGUAUACCAAAAGUACUGACUUUGAUGAGUAAGUUUUGUACUAGAAAACUAUGCUUCGACUCUGUGUCAUAUGACCUGAUCCAUACCUGGUACCUUUAUGAUGACUUAAUGUAUACUAAGCAUAGAUAUAUAUAUAGAUUUGGGUAGAUAAUAGUUUGGGUGACCUCAUUCCAAGCCCACAAUCCAAAGAGAAUAGGAAGUGAAUCGAAGGGCACACAUCCUAUUAGCUAUCGGAAUCUAUUAGUAUAUAUGUAUCCUAUAGUGUAUACGUUAAGAAAUCAUAAAACUACCAUUAUGAUCCUAACCUUUAAUAGUAGCCUUCUACCAAGGCAUCUUCUGUUCCGUGUUAAACCCGGCUGUUCCUUUGCCAAAUGUAACAAUAUAUUCUCCGUAGUUUAUAGCUAUCUUGACUAGAAAAUAGAUUAACUUUCAAGUGGUACCGACACUUUAUGAGAGUAAUGGGAAAAGUAAGUACACAGAUGUCAUUUAUAAUGACAUGCGGAUGUACUAAUAACCUAAAAACAUAUUUGUUUUAUUACGGUCAUAAUAUGAAAGCUAGAACCCCUACUAAACGCUCUCAAUGUAAAGAGAUUAAGGGAACCAAACGCUACCCCAGCAAUUUCUUGCAAGCGGUGUAAUUCACAUUAAAGUUAUAUGAUCAUGUAUACCCAAUUAACUAUCACUAAUGCGUUAGUGAUUCAUUGGUAUAAUUAGAUCCUGUUUGUGUGUUCUCAUGCUAUAGCAACCUAACUUGUUUGUUAUGUUCUGUUCUGGUAUUGUUUUAUUCUCUUCACUGUUUGUUCUGAUAUAGUAUUGAUUCUUUGGGUGCAUCAUUGUACUAGAAGUAAUGAAUAGCAUUCUCCUAAACUAUACCUAUAACAGUUUACUAACGCUCUAAUUGGACUGUUACUGACAAGAAUCAUUUCUUUACUAAGUUAUGCUUUUACCUUAUUAAUGGAGUUUUGUAUAACGAUAAAGUAACAUAACUUUAAACGAGUUUUGAAAUGUUUUGAAAACUUAUAAAUAACAUAAGUAACAUUUUGAAUGAUGUUUAAUAACAAACAUUUACUCAAUUUUCAUUGUGUUCAACCUGUAUUCCCCCCCCCCCCCUUAAAACAGUUAAAAUAGUGAAAGAUUCAUUACAGGGUAUGAACUUACCUGAUGUGGGUGAUUCAAACGGGUAUGCAUGUAAGGAUGAGAAGUUCCACGAAUGAAGUACCGAGACACAAUAAGUCCUAACUGAUAUAUAAGGACACAUAUUGACAUGAAUAUAGUGUUUAUAAACAACUAGAUGAAAGGAAACACCUUCCGGGACUAGGAAAGACCUUGACCAAGUGUUGGAAUCACAUGUGAUUCAACAAAGGAUGGUAGAAUGGCACUCACAUGAGUUUACUACCAUGGGUUUACGGCCCAAGGGAGUUUACGGUCGUAAACUCAUGGUUACUCAUGUAUAAGUGCAAGUUUGAACGCUAGGGGGUGAUUUAGGGACCUUAGCUCUACCCUAGGAUGAGGAAGACCACUUUCUUUGGAGCUUUUGAGGUGUUCACGGCCCUAAUGAAUUUACAACCACAAAAUCAUGGCCAUUUAUGUUUAUGAGGGUUGUUUAGGGUCCUAAAGGUCAUAAUGAAGCAUCCUAACUUCAAGUCUAAGCCUUAGGAAGUGUUUGUGGCAUCAAAACACCCCUAACUUGAGUUUUCAGCCCAUGAACCACUUUGGCAUGUGUUUGCGGCCGUAAUCACCUAUGGGUGAUGGUAUUUUGGUUGUUUUGAGUCCUAAACACAUCGAGGUAAAGAGCUAGGGUAGUCUCUAGGCUUAAGGAGGGAAUUUGGGGCUUCUUUGCACCAUAAAAGGGAGUUCAUGGCCCAAGAAAAUCCUUGACCGUGAACUCUCUCCUAAGAUUUGUUUCUUGAUGUUUCUAAUGCCUAAACAUGUGUAAUCUAGUGUACAACAAGUUAGAAGAAGAGUGCUUAUGAUAUAAGAGCUUGAACUUGUCGAUUUGGCCAAGAACGCUAGUGUGUGUUCUUGGUGUUUCUUGAGUAUCUAAAUAAACAUGAUUUGCAUGGAUGAAAUCAAUGUGAGAAGCUAGUUAAUAAGGUGUAUUAGCUAAUCAAGGGAUAUAAUACUCACCCUUUUGAAGAUCUAAGGAUGAAUGUUGUUAUGAUAGUAGAGAGAGAACCAAAGAGGAUUUGCUAGGAAAUGAGAGAAAUGUCUCAAAAUGACCAUUUGCCUUAUAUAUGCUCUUGAGUUUACGGCCGUAAACUCAUGGUCUUGUGGCCGUAAACUCACUUAGAUGAGGUUAGGGUUCGUUUUGCUUCACUGUGGUUCUAGCGGGUACUUUCUAACACUUAUUCCUUAAGUGUAUUGGGCUGAAAACACCUUAGAAUGACCUGUAACAAGGCUAUAACUUUGUACAAAUGAUUUUGACACUCAGUUGAGUUGACUGACUGAGCUUAUAAAAUAAAUUUUUUUGGGUUGUCACAUCAUCCUCCUGUUAGAAUGAAUUUCGUCCUGAAAUUAGCUCUCUUAGCGUUACUACUGGGGUUGCGCUCUUCUGAAUUGCAGAAUACUCACUCGUAGAAUUGGCAUCUUUGCCUUGGUGUUCUUGACAGGAGUCAUACUUGGUCUAUCAAUCAUUACCUCAUGUACACAAGUCGUAUAUAAUUAGGACUAGUUAGACGGUCGGAUGUGCGACUCUUCCCCAGGUCCACAACCCAACGAGGACAGGAGAUAGGGCGGAAAAACACAUACUAGAUCUGCGUAAUCAUAAUCACAUACCACCCUCGCGUAUACACUAAAUAAUAAUAGGUGGGUUGUAUUCUUCCAUAGCCUCUGUGCUCGAACUUGGUCUGUUGGAUGAGUGGUAUUUCGUGACGGUCUGCAGACGUCUGACGAGCACUUCGGGGGUUUAGAAUGCGAAAGAUAAAAUUUUUGAUUGAGGUCGGACUUUCGAUACGAAUGAAGAAAAUUUCGAGAACUUGUCGAUCGAGGCGAUAUAACCAUAUGAACUCAGUAUGGUGAGGACCACACCAACUCAUGACAAAAGAAAACAACGGACUUUAUUCUGAAUAAAGUUUUGGUCAAAUGCAAGAAACGUCUGAUAAACGACGAUGUAUCCCUGGUAUGCUUGGUACUGUACUCCUAGUAUGUUCAACAAUGUACUCCUUGUAACUAUUCUCGUUUUUCCUGCUUUCUAUUCGAAGUUAACACUCCUAUGUAUAGUACCGCUAUGUGCGCAUACAUACAAAUAAAAGUGCUUUACUAACCGAAGGGAUACUUUUUAUACUAUGAUCCCCCAUGGUACCACUUCCAUCGCCCGUUAUAUACAAGUUGUGAAUACUUAAGAUGAGCCAGGCAGUCGACUGAGCAUCUCUGCCUCAAAUCCACAACCAAUUAAGGAAAGGGGACCUAAGCGGAGUCACUCACUCUAAGUCUACAACAUCUUAGUUGCGCACAACUCUGAUGCAUAUGGUGAGCCAUAAUGGCUUCUCUAAAGGAUCUUUUAUUUAUCUUGAAUAUUUCGACCUAUUUUAACAUGUGAGUUGUUAUAGUUACUUUUAAGUGUCAUCCCCAAAUUUUAAUCUUAUAUGAAUAUAAAUUAAUUCUAAAAGUAAUUACUAUUUUGAAAACGUACCACUACUCGUCGACGACUCCGGGGUAGAUUCUCCUGCGGUGAUCAUCAGAAUACGUCCAUCCGCGCCUGAGUUCUUGAUUAUCGGGCAGUUCCUUUGAUUGUGUCCAGUCUCUCCACAGCCAUAUCAGGCUUGGUUUUGUUCAGCUCCGAGGACUUGGGAGAUCAGUUGAGCCGGUGCCCUGCAGUAACGGACUAUGUGUCCCUUUCUGUGGCAGUUUAGACACUUCAAUUACCGGUACACUCCAGUGUGGUAAAAAUUGCAUUUUCCACACUUCGGAAGGUUUCCAACAUAACAAAUGGCAGGUAUUCAAGUAGUAGGCGUUGUUGCGGCGUACAUAGUACUCGUUUGUUGCUCUUGCGGGGUGUCUUGUGGUGUUUGUUUCUUCUUCCUCUUGUUCCCCGACUUUUAAUUAUAGUCCUCUUCCCUCGAUGACUCGGGAAUAGGGACUUUUACGCUGUGGCGGACUCCAUGAUCGAUGAGUCGCUGAGCCAAGCGUUUAGCACUAUCGAACGUGGCUAGGUUAGAAGACAACACAUUUCCUUGGGUCGGAGCAGUAAGACCCCAAAUGUAUCUUUUUAUCUUCUUUCUCUCCAAUGUAAUCAUCUCGGGACAUAGAGCUGCUAGUUCGAUGAACCGGUCCGUGUAGGUCACUAUGUUUGAGCCGACCAUAGUGAGAUCCCACAACUCUUGUUCCAGUUUUUGAAUCUCGCCUAAUGGGCAAUAUUCUUCCCGCAUUAACUCUUUUAGGUUUUCCCAUCCUAUUGAGUUUUCCACUAAUAGGGUCAGUGAUUAAACAUGGCUUUUCCACCAUGUUAGGGCCUUGCCAUCGAAGGUGCAAGCAGCAAACUUCACUUUGCUUCCUUCCGGGCAUAAAAAGAUUUCAAAAACGGACUCUGUUUUCUCGAACCAUUGCAUGAGGGCAAUGACUCCUUCAGUCCCUUUAAAGGACAACGGUUGGCAUCUGGUGAAGUCCUUGUAGGAGAACUCUCCUUGGCACACAGGGACUUCACCUUGAGUAUAAUCAGUAGGCGUUUCACCUCCACCCGUACUGAUGGAGUGAUAUUGAGCCAUUGUUGUUGCCACAGCCGCGGCCACUGCAUCGUUCAGAGUUGCUGCAUCGAUUUAUGGAGAAGGUAUGGGAGUUAUUGAAGUAGCGUGUAUGGGUGAUCUAUGAGGAGGCAUCUUUGCUAAAAGAAAACAAAGAUGACACGGAAUAAGUCUAUAGCAACGGACACAAACCGAACUCAGAAAAGACAAGGUUAUCCUAGUUCUGGAUGUAUCGGGUCCUGACUUCCACAGGGUUCUAGGAACAAUUCAUAAAUGAGUCUAUACCAAAUAAACUCUAUGAAUUUGAAAUAACUAUCCUCGAAUGAAUAUCUGUUUCCUGAAUAACUGUUACCAGCUGCAUGUAAGAAAAUAAUUCUAACACAUGUAAUGUGAGCAGGGUUUCCACUUGCUCGAUAAAUUAACCUAAUUAAUAUUUAUUAGUGUGACGCGUAAGACGUUUUGGUUACUUCGACUGAUCUUUCCUUGAAAUCUUCUCAUGAAUUUGUCCUUGUUCCUUCUGAACUCUUCUAUUGUCUACUAUGAGGAAGUGGUUACGUUUAUCUGGGCUUGUCGUGCGAGAAUGAAAGUGACUAAAGAACCUAUGAGCUUUUAAGGGAACCUUAUGGGGUGAUCCUUAGGGAAACCUCUUAUAAUUGUACAAGGUACACCAGUUUUGUAUUGUAUAUAACUGAAGAUUAAAUAGACCUUCGAAUAAUUGAUCCCACCUCAACACUACUUCCUUAAGAGGAAUGGAUAGCGAAACGUCGGUCACAGAUUCUAUGUCUAUAAGAUCUUGAUUAUAUAUAAAACUUUAUGAAUAUACCCUGUAAGAUUAUAGACCUAUCCGCAAGGGUCUUUUAAUUUAUCACAUAAGUUAUUUAUCUGUACCAAAAUACUCCUAUAGUAUUCUAACGUAAUGUACUUGUUAUGUUCUAUACUCGUUAUCGCGCUAGCAUAUCAUAGAAUACUCCCAUAGUACUCUCACUCUAACUAUACUUGUACUGGCAUUCUCUUGACUGGUGUUCUGGUAAGUUUUAACCAUGUUUCAACACCAAUCAUUCCCAAACACAUGUUGGUCACAUCUCGAAUGAAUAUAGUUUAUCAGGCUAUAUUGAUCCUAGCUAUGAUUACAUAACUGUUCGGGUUGACGACAGUGCGCAACCUUUAAAUACUUUUAGUUCUGUUCUCCUCGUGACCCUAGUUCUAUUAUUUACAUGUAUAAGCAAGUAGGUAUAUUUUUAUAACUUGCAGAUAUACUCUAAAAUAUAUCACUAUCCAGAGCGCUUAAACCCCAUUGUAUUUAUAAACAUAUAUCUUUUAUCGGUUGAUAUACUUAGUUCACUAUAAACAAUGCUCUGAUACCAAUUUGUCACACCCCAAAACCCGAACGACAGAAAGUUCGCGGGUGGAGGACGUAAUGUUUCGUAUCACAAGAUAUGUAUAUGGUAAGCAAGUAAUGAACAACUAUUUCAUUUAGAAAGAAAGUGUUUACAAUGUGUGUGUUCACAAAACAUAGAAGUCAUAAACAAAUAACAAAACAAGACUUGAAGCUAUAAUGCUCCAUCUUCUAAAUUUCCAGCACGAGCACCUGUCUAAUUGUCUCCUGAGAAUACAAGUUAUUUGAAAGAGUUGAUCAGCAAUUAAGCUAGUGAGUUCAUAAGAUUUUAGUGAUAUGAGUAAGCUGUAAAAUGUUGUUGAAAAUGUAUAUGCACAAGUGAUGUAAGCUGUAAUUUCUGUUUUCAAAUGUUCGCGUGUUCCUCAACAAAAUCCUAUAUUUCUUACUUGAAUGAAAGUUAAGUAAAAUGACACUACAAGCCGUUCUAUGGGUACUAAGUGGGUACAAGUUAUAUAUACUCAGAGUAAAUAAACAAUUGAUUGUGUGCAUCUGCCCUAAUCUAACAACCCAACGGGGAAUAGAAAGUAAGGCGGAUAUCACAUAUUCCAUUGGUUGUUAGAUCAUCGUCAUGUAUAACCCUGGUGUAUUCACUUGUUACUCAAGGAGUUAUUUGCAAUGGUUCCUUUACAUCUAAUGAAACGUUCUUUUAAGAAAACCUAUAUUUCUUAUAGUAAAAUAUUGACCACAGUGACUACUUUUAUAAUAGCUUUGUUUAUACUGCUAUAUAUAAUUUGAUAUCGGGUAGAAAGUUAAUUGAGUGAAUCUGCCUUAAGCCCACAAUCCAAUGGGAACAAGAAGUAAGGUGGAAAACACACAUUUAACUAUCUAUUAGAUAUUAGUUUUAUAUAUAAACAUGGUGUAUAAACUAAGGUGCUAUUGAGUUAAUCACCUAAAGUAUCUAAAAUUGUACUGGCUUAAUAAAAUGGAUUAAGCCCUUAUCUGGGAAAUCUCUAGUUUUGUAUACCAAAAGUACUUAUUUUGACGAGUAAGUUUUGUGCUAGAAAAACUGUGCUUCGACUCUGUGUCCUAUGAACUGAUCCAUACCUAGUACCCUUAUGAUGACUUAAUGUAUACUGAGCAUAGAUAUAUAUAGAUUUUGGUAGAUAAUAGAUUGGGUGGCCUCAUUCCAAGCCCACAAUCCAACGAGAACAGGAAGUGAAGCGAAGAGCACACAUCCUAUUAGCUGUCGGAAUCUAUUAGUAUAUAUGUAUCCUAUAGUGUAUACAUUAAGAAAUCAUAAAGCUAGCAUUAUGAUCCUAAUGUUUAAUCGUAGCCUUCUACCAAGGCAUCUUCUGUUCUGUGGUAAACCCGACUGUUCCUUUGCCAAAUGUAACAGUAUAUUCUCCUAGUUUAUAACUAUCUUGACUAGAAAAUAGAUUAACUUUCAAGUCCUACCGACACUUUAUGAGAGUAAUGGGAAAAGUAAGUACACAGAUGUCGUUUAUAAUGACAUGCGGAUGUACUAAUAACCUAAAAACAUAUUUGUUUUAUUACGGUCAUAAUGUGAAAGCUAGAACCCCUACUAAACGCUCUCAAUGUAAAGAGAUUAAGGGAACCAAACGCGACCCCAACAAUUUCUUGCAAGCCGUGUAAUUCACAUUAAAGUUAUAUGGUCAUGUAUACCCAAUAUAACUAUCACUAAUGCGUUAGUGAUUCAUUGGUAUAAUUAGAUCCUGUUUGUGUGUUCUCAUGUUAUAGCAACCUAACUUCUUUGUUAUGUUCUGUUUUGGUAUUGUUUCAUUCUCUUUACUUUUGUUCUGAUAUAGUAUUGAUUCUUUGGGUGCUUCAUUAUACUAGAAGUAAUGAAUGGCAUUCUCCUAAACUAUACCUAUAAUAGUUUACGAAUGCUUUACUUGGACUGUUACUGACAAGACUCAUUUCUCUACUAAGUUACGCUUUUACUUUAAUAAUGGAGUUUUGUAUAACUAUAAGGUAACAUAACUUUAAACGAGUUUUGAAAUGUUUUGACAACUUAUAAUUAACAUAAUUAACAUUUUUAAAGAUGUUUAACAACAAACAUUUACACAAUUAGCAUUGUGUUCAACUUGUAUUCCCCCCUUAAAACAGUUAAAAUAGUGAAAGAUUCAUUAUGGGGUAUGAAGUCACCUAAUGUGGGUGAUUCAAACGGGUAUGCGUGUAAGGAUGAGAAGUUCCACGAAUGAAGUCCUGAGACACAAUAAGUCCUAAAUGAUAUAUAAGGACACAUAUUGACAUGAAUAUAGUGUUUAUAAACAACUAUAUGAAAGGAAACACCUUCCGGGACUAGGAAAGACCCUGACUAAGUGUUGAAAUCACAUGUGAUUCAACAAAGGAAGGUAGAUUGGCACUCACAUGAGUUUACUACCAUGGGUUUAUGGCCCAAGGGAGUUUACGGCCGUAAAAUCAUGGCUACUCAUGUGUAAGUGCAAGUUUGAAGGCUCAGGGGUGAUUUUGGGACCUUAGCUCUACCCUGGGAUGAAGAACACCACUUUCUUUGGAGCUUUUGAGGUGUUCACGACCCUAAUGAGUUUACAACCAUAAACGCAUGUCCAUUUAUGUAUAUGAGGGUUGUUUAGGGUCCUAAAGUUCAUAAUGAAGUAUCCUAACUUCAAUUCUAAGCCUUAGGAAGUGUUUGUGGCAUCAAAACAACCCUAACUUGAGUUUUCGGCCCAUGAACCACUUUGGCAUGCGUUUACAGCCGUAAUCACCUAUGGGUGAUCGUAUUUUGAUUGUUUUGAGUCCUAAACACAUCAAGGUAAAGUGCUAGGCUAGUCUCUAGGCUUAAGGAAGGAAUUUGGGGCUUCUUUGCACCAUAAAAGGCAGUUCACUGCCCAAGAACAUCCUUGGCCGUGAACUCUCUCCUAAACUUUGUUUCUUGAUGUUUCAAAUGCCUAAACAUGUGUAAUAUAGUGUACAACAAGUUAGAAGAAGAGUGUUUACGAUAUAGGAGCUUGAACUAGUCGAUUUGGCCAAGAACAAUUGUGUGUUCUUGGUGUUUCUUGAGUAUCUAAAUAAACAUGAUUUUCAUGGAUGAAAUCAAUGUAAGAAGCUAGUUAGUAAGGUGUAUUAGAUAAUCAAGGGAUAUAAUACUCACUUUUUUUAAGAUCUAAGGAUGAAUGUCGUUAUGAUAGUUGAGAGAGAACCAAAGAGGAUUGGCCACGAAAUGAGAAAAAUGACUUAAAAUGACCAUUUGCCUUAUAUAAGCUCUUGAGUUUACGGCCCCCAUGAUUUUACGGCCGUAAACUCAUGGUCUUGUGGCCAUGAACUCACUUAGAUGAGGUUAGGGUUCGAUUUGCUACACUGUGGUUCUAGCGGGUACUUUCUAACACUUAUUCCUUAAGUGUAUUAGGCUCAAAACUCCUUAGAAUGACCUGUAACAAGGCUAUAACUUUGUACUAAUGAUUUUUACACUCAGUUGAGUUGACUGACUGAGCUUAUAAAAAAAAAAAUUUCAGGUUGUCACUAUGUACUUGUAUAUGAUAGUAUUCUCUGUGUGUACUUGUAUAUGAUAGUAUUCUCUGUUAUAGUAUUCUUCUUUGUAGUAUUUGAAUGAUUGACUUGUAAUUUUAUAUCUACAUAUGUAUACAUAAUAUAUAACUAAUGUUUAGACGACCUUCGGACAACUAACCGAUUACUGUAAGUACACAUCCAAACAAGGAAAAGGAAAUAAAGUGGGUUAGCAGUUCUAUGUCCUUUAAACAUUACUUACAUAACUAUACAUCUAUAGACAUGCAUUUGACAGUAUUUAAGUUAAAAAGGAAGUUUUGUAAAGCCUUUUGAAGAGGCUAAUAAUAAUUACGGAUUACUUGAUGUCAAUUUAUAAAACGAUUUAAGAGUUGUUUGUUUGAAACACAGUUUGUAGAAUGUAAAGUCCUAUUGUUUGAAACACAGUUUAAAGUAUGUAAAUUCCUAUUGUUUGAAACACAGUUUGAAGCAUGUAAAAUCCUAUUGAUUGAAACACAGUUAUCAAUCACAUGUGAUUGAUUAUAUAACUAUACGUUUUCUACUUGUAUCCCCCCCAUAAAAGCAUUUAAAAUCAUUUAAAAGGAUAGAUUAAGGGGUUUGAACUCACCUGUUGUGAGUGAUUUGGAUGAACGGAUGGUAUAGGAUGCUAAGGGUCAGGUGAACACUUGAACACACACACGGAUCCUAUUUAACAUAUAAUGACACAUAUAUGUUUCUAAUCAGUGAUUAAACAACUAAUUUAACAAGUAUAGGAACCCUAGAACAUGGGAAACACUUUGAUUUAAGAGUUAUAACCACUAAAAGGUUGCAUCUAAGGGUUGUAUGGCUUUCCUUUGGAGUUUAUGGCCAAAGGACCAACUCUUCAUGAGUUUACGACCCAAGGUAAUUUCCCCAUGAGAUUACGGCCAUAAACUCAUGGUAUUUUGCACCAAGUUGUGUUAUAAGGUCUUAUAAGUCAUAAUGAAGUGUCCUAUGAUCAUGUCUAAGCCUUAGGAAGGAAUUAGGGUUCAGAGCACUCAUCAAUAACGUAUACAGCGAAAGGAGAUUGCCUUGGCCAUAAACUCCCCUUUGAUCUUGAUUUAGUGUUGUUUGCAAGGUGUAAACUGAUGGGUUUUGAGCAUUGUAACACUUCCUAAGUGUACAUGCAACCCUAAUAACCUUGGAUCUAUGUUUGUCUAAAUAUCAUGCAAAGUUGAAUUACAAGGUUAUUUUCCUAUCUAGCAUACAUGGGGAACAAUUUAACUUGAAUGAAAGAUAGAAUAAAUUAACUAGUUGUUGUUUAUGAUCCUUAAAACCUUGUGAGCCUAGCACUCCAAGUGUGAUGCCUCAAAUUCUUCACACAACACCAAAUGCUCUUGGAAAGACUUUUGAGAGAAUACACACUUCUUAAAAUCGGCCUAGCCCUCUUGUUUCAAAUGUAUAUCUGAUUUUGGUGGAGAAUGGGAUUCUUGUAUAGUGUUGACACAUCUAGGGUUACACCAUGUAAACCCUAAUGUGUCAUGACUCUUCAUUUCCAUGACCCAUGGGUUUGUAACUCCCAUGGAGCAUCCUAUGGGUGGAACCCAACUUGAUAAUCCAUGGAGCCUCUUAGCCCACUAUACAAGAUAUGAAUGAUUUACAUAAUCAAACCAUAUAUUUAAUUAGUUAUGUUUUGAUCACUUAAUUAAUUCUAAAAUAAUUCUUGAUCAAACUAAUUAAAUAUUAUUAUUAAUAUAUUAGAACUUAUAAUAUAUUAAUAAUCUCCAAGUGUUAUUUCUCUCAUUUAGUCUACCCAAUUUCAUGGUGCCAUGCAACCCAAAUGGACCAUGCCGGGUCGGGUCAAGUACAAACCCGAAAUAGUUAUGGACUUAGACACCUUAUCCAACAGUCUCCCACUUGGAUAAGUCUAAUAACUAUAUCUCUAGUACUUCAGGAACCGACCGGCAAUCGUAGCUCUUUCAAGGUCUCUCGGAACUGAGAAGAUGAUGGUACGCCAUUUAAGAUAAGUGAUCAUAUAAUCCUCUGUUCUAGAUAUCAGCCGGACAAAUACAUGGAACAAUGUCUUACUUAUUGUCCAACAGUUUGUUUCCCGAUUUUCGAUUUGUUUGACAAAGAACUUAAUUGAACACAUCAACUUAGUUCUGACCGGGCCCGGUACAUAGGUCAAAACAAAAUCAUCGAGGGGCCCAGAUAUCAGCUUCUAAUCCAAGAAGGAACAGAUAAACUUCGACUCAUAUGUUUGUUCUACCACUCAUUGAAUUACACACAAAAGUACGUUUUAUAACAUCGAGUUACCAAUGCGGUUUCGUACAGUCAAUGCAUAACCAACUUGUAAGUAACAAAUCAUAUCUCUAGGUUUGAAGACUUAUAUGAUAUUACCGUCUCACGAUCACUCGAGAUAGAAUUCCAUGAAGUGAUUCCAGUGAGCGUGGGUUGAGUCCAAUGCUCAGAACUUAUGAGCACUCAUGAUUGUUGUAGCCUUGUCCAACACCUUAGACCUCUACAACCCAUCAUGACAGUCUUGAUUCAUACCUACUUCCGACAUAUGACCGACUGUGGAGGUUUGAAUAAUAUGUUAUACCAAACAAAAUUAUUCUGGAAGUCAAAACAUGCAAAAGAAAUAUAGUAAACGAUCGACAAGAGAUAGCAACACUUUACUCAUAAAUAAAACACCUUUUAUUCAUCAUCUAAUGUCAAUUACACUUUACAAAUUUCUGGGUUAUCUAACUACUAAAACUUAUAUCAUCCUUCAGCCCUAUGCUCCGAGCAUGCUGGAGAUGCUUAACCCUACUCAGUCCCUUCGUGAGGGGAUCUGCUGGGUUCUCAUCCGAUGAUACCCUCUUUGCCACGAGGAGUCCUUCUUCGAUCCGAUGUCUAAUGAAAUGGUAUUUUCUGUCGAUGUGUCUGGAUCUCCCAUGAUCCCUUGGUUCCUUGGCUAAGGCAACAGCACUUUCACUAUCACAGAAAAUUUCCAUUGGCUCUUUAAUAGCUGGUACAACUCCAAGGUCUCCAAUGAAGUUCUUCAGCCAUAUCGCCUCCUUUGCCGCCUCGCUAGCUGCAAUAUACUCUGAUUCACAAGUUGAAUCAGCCACUGUCUCUUCCUUGGAACUCUUCCAAGAAAUUGCUCCUCCAUUUAAGGUAAAGACCCAGCCUGACUGAGAGCGGAAAUUAUCCCUAUCAGUCUGAAAGCUGGCAUCACUAUCCCCUACAACUCUCAAGUCAUCACUCCCACCGAGGGUAAGGACCCAGUUCUUAGUCCUCCAUAGGUACUUGAGGAUAUUCUUUACCGCAUUCCAGUGUGCCUUGCCGAGGUUCCCCUGAUACCUGCUAACCAUGCUCAAGGCAAAAGCUACAUCGGGUCGAGUACACGUCAUAGCAUACAUGAUCGAUCCUACAGCCGAAGCGUAAGGUGUUCGACUCAUUUCUGCUAUCUCAGCCUCAGUGCUAGGGCUUUGUGUCUUACUCAAUCUGGUGUUACUCUAGAUGGGUAACUCUCCUUUCUUGGAGUCCUGCAUGCUAAAUCUCUUCAGCACCUUAUCCAAGUAGGUACUCUGACUAAGUCCAAUUAGUCUUUUACUCCGAUCUCUCAAGAUCCUUAUCACUUGAAUAUAGGCAGCUUCUCCUAGGUCCUUCAAAGAGAAACACUUCCCAGGCCAGGACUUAACUUCCUGCAAAGUUGGGAUGUCAUUUCCUAUGAGUAGUAUGUCAUCCACAUACAAUACCAAAAAGCUAACUAUACUCCCACUAGCCUUGACAUACACACAAGAUUCAUCUUCACUCCUAGAAAAGCCAAAUUCCUUGACCUUUUCAUCAAAGCAAAGAUUCCAUCUGCGAGGUGCUUGCUUCAAUCCAUAAAUGGAUUUCUCAAGCUUACACACUCUAUUAGGGUACUCGUUGCUGACAAAACCCUCUGGCUGACUCAUGUAAACAUCUUCAGCCAACUUUCCAUUAAGGAAAGCGGUUUUGACAUCCAUCUGCCAUAUUUCAUAAUCAUGAAAUGCAGCUAUGGCUAACAGAACCCGAAUAGACUUAAUCUUGGCUACUGGAGAAAAGGUCUCAUCAUAGUCCACUCCAGGAAUUUGAGAGAAGCCCUUUGCAACCAGUCUAGCCUUAUAAGUGUGUACUUUACCAUCCAUGUCGGUCUUCUUCUUGAAGACCCAUUUGCACCCUACUGUCUUACGACCUGGUACAUUCUCAACCAAGUUCCAAACUUGAUUGUCAUACAUGGACUGUAUUUCGCUGUCCAUUGCCUCUUUCCACUUGGCUGACUCAGGGCCUGCCAUGGCUUCCGCGUAACUGUUAGGUUCAUCCAGACCUAUCAGUGUCUCAUCACUGAUAAGUGUAUCACCUUCCGCAGUAAUAUGGAAUCCAUAGUAAUGCUCAGGUGCAUUCCUAACCCUUGUGGAACGCCUUAGAGGUACAGACUUGUCAAUUGGAUCAACAAGAGUUUCCUCCUCAAGUUGAGUGCUAGGGUUUGAAGUUCCUUCACCGAUUGACUCUUGAACUUCUUCAAAUUCAACUUGCCUCCCACCGUUUCCUUGGCUUAUGAACUCUCUCUCUCUGUCAAGAAAGCCCUCCUAGCUACAAAGACCACAUUUUCACUAGGUCUGUAGAAGAGGUGACUGAAGAUUGUUGUGGGUAGCCGAUGAAAAUACACCUCUCGCUUCGAGGUUCGAGCUUAUCAUGAGUCUCGCGUCUCACGGAAGCCUCGCAACCCCAAAUCAUGAUGUGGUCUAGUAUAGGUACUUUACCAGUCCACAUCUUGUGAGGAGUUUUGGCAACUUUCUUUGUAGGGACUAGAUUNNNNNNNNNNNNNNNNNNNNNNNNNNNNNNNNNNNNNNNNNNNNNNNNNNNNNNNNNNNNNNNNNNNNNNNNNNNNNNNNNNNNNNNNNNNNNNNNNNNNNNNNNNNNNNNNNNNNNNNNNNNNNNNNNNNNNNNNNNNNNNNNNNNNNNNNNNNNNNNNNNNNNNNNNNNNNNNNNNNNNNNNNNNNNNNNNNNNNNNNNNNNNNNNNNNNNNNNNNNNNNNNNNNNNNNNNNNNNNNNNNNNNNNNNNNNNNNNNNNNNNNNNNNNNNNNNNNNNNNNNNNNNNNNNNNNNNNNNNNNNNNNNNNNNNNNNNNNNNNNNNNNNNNNNNNNNNACAAGAUUAGUUUAGAUAUAAGAGAGUCCUUAAUAAAACACCCAAAUGUAAUAUUAAGGCUAGGAUCCAAUCACAAUAUAAUAUAACUUAGAAGAGGUAUGCCGUAAUCUAAGCUAUAUCAUAUUUGAAAGGUAGGUGAAUGACGAUUCACCAAUUUCCACCACGAAAACCGCAAUAUUUUAGUAUUAGGUUUUUGAAUGGUUCUUAGAAAUUCCUAGAUUCUUUGAGAUUCAAUGAACUUUUCAAAGGCAUGUUUCAAUCUCGAGUGUGCCCUCCAAGUUUUGUGACUGGGAUACCGAGGAUCACAAAACGAGGUGUGAAGUAACCAUGCAAAUCACUUGGUACCCUUAAAGUUUAUCACUCAAUCGAUGUGCCGGUUAACCACACACGCUCCAUCGAUACUAUAAUAAACCCUAAGUCACCCUUUACCUACCUUGUUAAGUCCAAGUUAGUGUGCCGGUUAACCACACACGCUCCACCAACGACUUAAUCAAAGUGUAAAGUGUAAUUUCAUGGAAUAGCACCUUAUUCACAUUUUUCCUAAAGUAACUAAGAUUGGGAAUUUAAUAAAACAUUUAGUUACUUUAUAAUAUUCAUCAUACUUUGAAUGAGAAUUAAUAAGUCCUUGUCUUACCCGUUCGGCUAACGACCCUCCACCGAUCAAGCAAGCGGUGGGUGAGAGUGGACACCCAUUAAGUCACCAUUUUAUAGGCAACAACCUUAUACCCACCUUAUAGACCGGCUUCGUGAAUGAGGCGUACUAGCGGUAAGACGACUUUGUUCUUAUACAUAUAUAUAUAAUUAUUAAAUCAUAAUAAUAUAAGUAUAAGGGUUGAAUUUUAACUUUUAAAAUUCUAGGGGUUGGAACUAAAGUUUUAACUUAACUUUACUUGUUCCAAAACUUGAGGGCAAGUUUUGUAAACUUUCAAAACUUUUCAUUUCUUGUAACUUAUGAGUUUAAUAGAGUAAUAAAAUGAGGACUUUUCAUUUUUCCUAACUCUUGUGUUCUUUUAAUGGUUUUUAAUCCAAGAGACUUUUGGUUUUCCAUAACUUGAGGACAAGUUAUGGACUCCAUUAAAACACAUAAUGAUCAUGAAUUAAUCUACCACAUAGGUUACAAAUAAUUCCUAUGAUCAUCUAAACAUCAUAAGAUGAAGAACAUGAACAUGAACACUAUCAUGAAUCAAAAUUACACUUUAAAACUUUGUAACUUUGAUAACUAGUUGUUGUAAAUGGAUUAGCAAAGACAUUACACCAUCUAAAACCAGUUUUCAAGUAGCAAAACAUUUUAGGGUAAUGUUUCUAGUCCAUUUUUAGCAACUAAAGUCGAAAAUCUGCAUUCUGAGGCUCCUACUCGCCGAAUGCACGAACCUACUCGACGAUUAGGUAGAAGAUACAAGUGAACUCGGCGAGUCCCCCCAUGGCCUCGGCGAGUUCAUCAGGCAGACAACAAGCUUUUCGACAUUUUUCAACUUUUUAGCACAAAUAACAAAGAAACAAGCCUAGGCUCUGAUACCACUGAUGGGUUUUGAGCAUUCUAACACUUCCUAAGUGUACAUGCAACCCUAAUAACCUUGGAUCUAUGUUUGUCUAAUUAUCAUGCAAAGUUGAAUUCCAAGGUUAUAUUCCUAUCAAGCAUACAUGGGGAACAAUUUAACUUGAAUCAAAGAUAGAAUAACUUACCUUGUUGUUGCUUAUGAUCCUUGAAACCUUGUGAGCGUAGCACCCCAAGUGUGAUGCCUAAAAUGCUUCACACAACACCAAAUGCUCUUGGAAAGACUUUUGAGAGAAUACACAUUUCUUAGAAUCGGCCUAGCCCUCUUGUUUCAUAUGUAUAUCAGAUUUUGGUGGAAAAUAGGAUUCUUAUAUAGUGUUGACACAUCUAGGGUUACACCAUGUAAACCCUAAUGUGUCAUGACUCUUCAUUUCCGUUACCCAUGGGUUUGUAACUCCCAUGGAGCAUCCUAUGGGUGGAACCCAACUUGAUAUUCCAUGGAGCCUUUUAGCCCACUAUACAAGAUAUGAAUGAUUUACAAAAUCAACCCAUAUAUUUAAUUGGUUAUGUUUUGAUCACUUAAUUAAUUCUACAUUAAUUCUUGAUCAAACUAAUUAAAUAAUAUUAUUAAUAUAUUGGAACUUAUAAUAUAUUAAUAAUCUCCAUGUGUUAUUUCUCUCAUUUAAUCUAUCCAAUUGCAUGGUGCCAUGCAGCCCAAAUGGACCAUGUCGGGUCGGGUCAAGUACUGACCAGAAAUAGUUAUGGACUUAGACACCUUAUCCAACAUAAACUGAGUGAUUUAGUCAUAUAACAAGCUAGGGUAAUGGUACUUACAAUAUAGAAGCUUGUAAAGGUGUUUAAACUCCAAGAACACUAGUAUGUGUUCUUGGUGUUCUUGGUGAAAUGAAGAACACUUGAAGAUCUAUUAAAAUGAAAGGAUUUCAUUGAUGAUAUCAUGAGUGAAUCAAGAAGAAGUGAUAUAACACAUAGAUGAAGUGAUUUACUUACAUUCUUGGAAGAUUUGGAAGCAAAAGUCUCAAGAUCUUUGAGAGAGAAUUCCGAGUUCUUGGGUUUGAAGGGUGAAAAGUGAUUAAAAUGACUAAGGAAUAUAUAUAUAUAUAUAUAUAUAUAUAUAUAUAUAUAUAUAUAUAUAUAUACGUGANNNNNNNNNNNNNNNNNNNNNNNNNNNNNNNNNNNNNNNNNNNNNNNNNNNNNNNNNNNNNNNNNNNNNNNNNNNNNNNNNNNNNNNNNNNNNNNNNNNNNNNNNNNNNNNNNNNNNNNNNNNNNNNNNNACACACACACUAAGGGGUGAUGGCCACCUUGAGUUUACGGAGGUAAACUCCAAGGUUUUGGCCAUAAACUCCUCCUUUGAGGGCUUAGGGCUUGUUUGACAGAUUACCAGUUCAACUGACACUCGCAUUCACUUAUUCCUUUGAUGUACUUUUAGAUUAAAACACCCAAACUGGCUCCAAAAGUGCUAAAAGUUAGCAGAAGUAAGUUUGACUUCGAUUGAAUGUAAGGUUUGUACAAGGUAGAAAUUUCGGGUUGUCACACCUGACCACUACUCACAACAAACCUAAUCAUCCUUGUUUUAGGAAUGUACGAUAAUAUCUAUUGCUUUUUCUCCUGAAAUGAAAAUAUUAUAACAGCUCAAACCUUAGAAACUUGAAUAAACAUAAAUGAUGUUGGUGUCACAGCUCGUGCAACUGAAUACCCCUGAGAGAUGGCCUAAUACCAAUGCUAAUACCAACUGGGGGGGAGGUAGAUGUCACACCCCAAAACCACGAACGGCGGAAACGUUCAGUGGUGGAGGACGUCAUGUACAGUAUCACAACAGUGUAAUAUAAUAAACAAGCAACAACAUCAUUCAUUGAAUUAUAAGUAGACUUUUAAUACAUGUGUGUUAUUUCAUAAUGUACAACAAUAAAAUGAAUAAUCAAAAUAAGGCGAGUCUUGUCUGUGCUCCAUCUUCUCAAAAACCUGGCCAUCGCACCUGUCUAACUGAUGACCUGAGAAUACAAGUUAUUUUGAAAGCGAGUAUCAGCUUUAAAGCUGGUGAAUUCAUAAGUAAUUAAAGGUCAUUGUCUUGCCUAAGAAAAUCUGUUAUGAAGGCCAUGUAAACCUUUAAAUGAAAAUGUUGAUGUAAGUAUGAGAAACCCUAGAAAAUCCCUUAUUUUCAAUCAGUUGGAGAUGUAGUCUUCUUCCAAGACCCAAAUGUUUUGUUAUGACUAUGUAGUCUUCUACCAAGACUCGAAUGUUUUGUUAUGACUAUGUAGUCUUCUACCAAGACUCGAAUGUUUUGUUAUGACAAUGUAGUCUUCUACUAAGACCCGAAUGUUUUGUAAGUAAAAUGAUAGUUUUUCCUUCAAUUGUUUAGUACUAAAGUACAUAGUCUAACUCAUCGUUUAUGUGAAAGUAUCACAAAAUAAACUAAACAAGAAAAUGUACUACUAUAAGUGUUGUCACUGGGAACUAGGACUAACACAACAUAUGUAACUGUUAUCCCGAGGUACUAGGGCUAAGACAACCUAUAUAACCUAAUGAACAUCCGAAGAAUGUCCAAUUGUCCUCUAUAGCAGCAGCAGGGCGGAGGAAGGGUUAGUCCUUGUGAAGGUACUCCUAGUAUAAGUAAUAACCGUAGGCAUCCGUAGAUGUUCAUCGAGCACUGGUGCUAAUCAGUUGGGAUUCGGAAUGGUUAGUCCCGUCUAAAUAUCCCGACUGGGGAUAGGGUCCCAUCUAAAUAUCCCGAGGUACUGGGGGAUAGGGUCCCGUCUAAAUAUCCCGAGGUACUGGGGGACGGGGUCCCGUCUAAAUAUCUCCGAGGUACUAGGGGAUAGGGAGGAUAAGUUACAAAGAAGGUACUAAUAAUCAUCCUCGCAUUUCGAGAUACAAGUAUUCAUGUAAGUAAUACACAGGUAAAUGUAUCUACGUAAAGGUACUCAUGUAAGGUAUUCAUGUAUCAUGUAAGCAUAUGUGAACGCACUCAUGUACCAGGUAAUGUACUAGUAAAGACUCAUGAAUGAACUGAAUCUUGUGUGAUUCCUUGUAAUAGGAAUAAUGUUUGAUAUCUUCAAAUUAUCCCUAUGAUAAUUUACUGAAAGGUANGUGGUUGUUCAAGUAGAUUUAUGCACCCUCGAUACACCAGGGUGUGGGAAACUGAACGAAGGAUGAAAACUAUAAUCUCUAACAUAUAAAUGAACAUAUGCGCAUAAGUAUAGUUUGAUUCAAGAAGGUAAAAUAAUGGUUUUGCAAGAUAUCUAGGAGUUUUGAACAAUAAUUAAGAAUGACUUGAUGUCAUUUUAAUAAACAUUUCAAAACUAAUACUUUUGUUAUCAAGGUAUUUUAAGAUACAAAACCAUUUCACGUGAGACCUUUUGAAAUACGUGAAAUCUACUGAGUGAAAACACAAUUAUAAAAUACAUAAGAUUGAUUUAAUAACAUACUGUUUUCUACUUGUAUUCCCCCCCGCCCCAUUAAAGCAUUUAAAAUCAUUUAAAAUAUUCAUUAAGGGUAUGAACUCACCUGUAGUUGGUGAUCAGAAUGAACUGAACGGUAUAGGAUGGCUAGGUGUCAAGCGAGGACUUGUACACACACUACGAUCCUAAUGAACAUAUAAUCACACAUAUAUGCACUCAAUUAGACUAAAAUCACUAAUUGACCAUGUUAAGACAUCCUAGACAUAAUAAACACUUUAUAUAAGUGUUUUAAGCCCUAAGGAUUGCAUCUAAGCUAUUGUGGGACAAGGUACUUGUGUUUAGGGUUCCAAAGGACCCCAUAUAUGAGUUUACUCCUCAUAUACUAACACACAUGGAGUUUACGGUUGUAAACUCUUGAGUUUACGGCCGUAAUCUGCCAACCAUGGGGUAUUUGUGUGUUUUGAAGUCCCAAAUGCUUUCUAGAAUUAUUCUAACUUGGUGGUUCCAUCCUUGAAGAGGUUUAAGGACUAGAAACACUCCAUUUAGGAGUUUAAGGCCCCAAGGCCAUUCCCCUUGGAGUUUACGGCCGUAAACUCCCUUGGGGUGUUGUUUUUGUUGUUUUCAAGCCUCAUGCAUUUGAAGGAUAGGUUGUAGUCAAUUGUUUAAAGCUAAUGAGGACCAUAGGCACACUUUGGUGCCUUUGUUUGGUGUUUACGGCCUAGGAGCAUUACCAAGGCCGUAAACUCACUUCAAGAGGUGAUUUUGAUGCUUUCAAGUCUCUUGCACAUGUGGUAUAGGUUCUAGCCUUUUAUUCCAAGCAUAUGAAGGCAUUAGGCACACUUGGGUGCCAUUCUUUCAUGUUUACGGCCCAAGAACAAAGUCUUGGCCGUAAAAUCACUUUGAUAAGUGAUUUUGAUGUGCUUUGGUCCUUCAAUUAAGUGGGUAACAAUUUCUUGUAAAGGUCUAGGCCUUUAGGUGUCAUAAAAACACCCUUUUGUCCAUUUCAAUGGAGUUUACGGCCUAAGAUUGCUCUUGGGUCGUGAACUCCCAUGUGUUUGUGUUUCUUGAUUGUUUUCUUGUCCUAAAAACAUAUACAAAGGAGACUAGGGUAGUAGCAUAACACAAAGAACAACCUCGGCUCGGUUUCGGGAGUUUACCGCCCAAGAACACCUUGGGGAGUAAGCUCCUAGAUCUAAUGAUUGAGCCAUCUAAAUCAUGUUAUAAGCACACAAUAAGCUCUCUAACACUACUAGAAAGAGGUACUCACAAUUUGGGAUAAAAACCCAAAGAUCCGUCAGAGAGAAAAUGGCUUUUCUCUAGUUGGAAAUGUGAAUAAUGAAUGAAUUUGGUUCAGAAAUCUAUUUAUAGUCCUGAGAUAUUUUUGGUAGAAAAUAUUUUUAUUCCUGAAAUGACCUCUAAUAUAAUAGAGUGAUGGAUUAAUAGAGAUGCACUAAACCUUAGUGCAACCACUCUCCUGAUAUCUCCUUAAGUGUAAAUCCUGAAAAACUGCCAAACUUAUACCCGAAGUCUGGGAUUUCCCUGAAAUUGUUCUAAGCUCUAUUGUCUUGAUAUGGUUUGUUCAGAAUGGAAAUUUCGGGUUGUCACAUCAUCCCCCUGUUAAAGAGAAUUUUGUCCCGAAAUUAGAAUUUAGGCAAGGAAGUAUGUACAAAUGAUCAAGUCGUUAGGUGAAAACUUCCUAAUCGAUUUGCACUCGCGCUCCCAAGUCAAAUCGGGUUCUCGGUCGGUAUCCCAAAGAACCUUCACUAACUGGCGACGACGUUGCUUCGUCCACUUGACCUCUCGGUCGAGGGUCACUACGGUUCUAAUACGAAGGCAAGGAUCUUGACGAGUGGAUUUACAAGAUUCCUAACGUAAAUGUAUAGUUUCACGAUCGAGAUGCGAAGAGUAGAAUCUACGUUACUGAGUUCGCGGAGUAGGUCUAGUUUGUGAAAUGCAGGACCGAUUCUGGUAAGAAUCUCGGAGGUCCAAACUAUAUUGGAUUUUAGCUUUCCACGCUUCACAAAGCUUAUUAAGCCGUUCCCAUAGUGAGGUUUCCUAUAGAAUUUGGUCUCUCACAUGGAAUUCCAAAGGUUCUUUCUCUCGAUUAAUUCCCAGUCAAGGGCCAUCCCUUGCUGGGUCAAAGUCGAAAGGGUUCUUGAAGUUUGCGGGGAGUUUCGAAUGGGCCAUGAUAGUAGGCCUGUAAGACUUAGAAUUUGGCGAAUUUUUCCGUCGGUGACUACGGUGCCAACAAAUUCCAACGGUUUUGGAUAAUUUGACAUAGUACUCAAGAAUUUCCACAACACUAAAAGUGUGUCUCAGGAAAUUUGUCUCUAAAUUCCAAAACUCUUGUUCAGACAACUUGGUGAAGAGUAUCUCCGAGGGUAAUGUUUCUAUGGAUUCCUUCUUACUACGAGGGUAGAUAAGUAUUCAUUAUAUGGAGAAAUGACGAACUGAUCCCAGUAAGAAAAGCGUACUCCACUCAUAUAGCUCAGGAAUACUAUGGGCGUAUUGGUCCUAUCCAAAGGGUAUCGCUACGGACUCGAAGUGUCCGUAUCGAGUUCGGAGGGUAGUCUUUAGGACAUCCUUCCCUAACACUCGAACUAGUGAUAUUUGGAUCUCAGGUCCAUUUCUGAAAGUAACACUUUCCCUGUGGUUGCUCGAUUAGCUCUUCUAAGCGAGGCAGAGAUAACGAUUUCUAAAGGAAAUCUAAACGAAGUCUCCGGUCGUCGAGGAACAUAUGAUGCACUCCAUCGACUUCUGGUAAGAAUAAGACCGGAGCUCUCAAGGGUGAGAAGCCUGGUCUUCUAAUUCGAUUGUUGAGUAGUUCGUGGUGUUGUCCGGACUGGUCUUGUAUUUUCCGUAGGUGUUUAGACUGAAGGCAAUCUGGUUAUAAGUGUCAUACUGGGUCCUAAGGUGGUUCCUAUGCCAAUGCAAUUACUUGAACUCCUGGACAGUCUCCAUCCUGAAGUUCAUAUUAGAAUUCAUACAUGACUCAAUGAUCACAAUUUCGGGUAUACGAGUCGUAUAUAAUUAAGACUGAACAGGUAGUUGAAUAACUGAUUCUUCCUUAAUCUCACAUCCCAUCGAGGGAAAAGAAAUUAAAGUGGAAUCAUCAAUUNUUGGUGAUUGGAAUGAACUGAACGGUAUAGGAUUGCUAGGUGUCAAGCGAGGACUUGUACACACACUACGAUCCUAAUGAACAUAUAAUCACACAUAUAUGCACUCAAUUAGACUCAAAUCACUAAUUGAUAAUGUUAAGACAUCCUAGACAUAAUAAACACUUUAUAUAAGUGUUUUAAGCCCUAAGGAUUGCAUCUAAGCUAUUGUGGGACAAGGUACUUGUGUUUAGGGUUCCAAAGGACCCCAUAUAUGAGUUUACUCCUCAUAUACUAACACACAUGGAGUUUACGGUUGUAAACUCUUGAGUUUACGGCCGUAAUCUGCCAACCAUGGGGUAUUUGUGUGUUUUGAAGUCCCAAAUGCUUUCUAGAAUUAUUCUAACUUGGUGGUUCCAUCCUUGAAGAGGUUUAAGGACUAGAAACACUCCAUUUAGGAGUUUAAGGCCCCAAGGCCAUUCCCCUUGGAGUUUACGGCCGUAAACUCCCUUGGGGUGUUGUUUUUGUUGUUUUCAAGCCUCAUGCAUUUGAAGGAUAGGUUGUAGUCAAUUGUUUAAAGCUAAUGAGGACCAUAGGCACACUUUGGUGCCUUUGUUUGGUGUUUACGGCCUAGGAGCAUUACCAAGGCCGUAAACUCACUUCAAGAGGUGAUUUUGAUGCUUUCAAGUCUCUUGCACAUGUGGUAUAGGUUCUAGCCUUUUAUUCCAAGCAUAUGAAGGCAUUAGGCACACUUGGGUGCCAUUCUUUCAUGUUUACGGCCCAAGAACAAAGUCUUGGCCGUAAAAUCACUUUGAUAAGUGAUUUUGAUGUGCUUUGGUCCUUCAAUUAAGUGGGUAACAAUUUCUUGUAAAGGUCUAGGCCUUUAGGUGUCAUAAAAACACCCUUUUGUCCAUUUCAAUGGAGUUUACGGCCUAAGAUUGCUCUUGGGUCGUGAACUCCCAUGUGUUUGUGUUUCUUGAUUGUUUUCUUGUCCUAAAAACAUAUACAAAGGAGACUAGGGUAGUAGCAUAACACAAAGAACAACCUCGGCUCGGUUUCGGGAGUUUACCGCCCAAGAACACCUUGGGGAGUAAGCUCCUAGAUCUAAUGAUUGAGCCAUCUAAAUCAUGUUAUAAGCACACAAUAAGCUCUCUAACACUACUAGAAAGAGGUACUCACAAUUUGGGAUAAAAACCCAAAGAUCCGUCAGAGAGAAAAUGGCUUUUCUCUAGUUGGAAAUGUGAAUAAUGAAUGAAUUUGGUUCAGAAAUCUAUUUAUAGUCCUGAGAUAUUUUUGGUAGAAAAUAUUUUUAUUCCUGAAAUGACCUCUAAUAUAAUAGAGUGAUGGAUUAAUAGAGAUGCACUAAACCUUAGUGCAACCACUCUCCUGAUAUCUCCUUAAGUGUAAAUCCUGAAAAACUGCCAAACUUAUACCCGAAGUCUGGGAUUUCCCUGAAAUUGUUCUAAGCUCUAUUGUCUUGAUAUGGUUUGUUCAGAAUGGAAAUUUCGGGUUGUCACAUCAUCCCCCUGUUAAAGAGAAUUUUGUCCCGAAAUUAGAAUUUAGGCAAGGAAGUAUGUACAAAUGAUCAAGUCGUUAGGUGAAAACUUCCUAAUCGAUUUGCACUCGCGCUCCCAAGUCAAAUCGGGUUCUCGGUCGGUAUCCCAAAGAACCUUCACUAACUGGCGACGACGUUGCUUCGUCCACUUGACCUCUCGGUCGAGGGUCACUACGGUUCUAAUACGAAGGCAAGGAUCUUGACGAGUGGAUUUACAAGAUUCCUAACGUAAAUGUAUAGUUUCACGAUCGAGAUGCGAAGAGUAGAAUCUACGUUACUGAGUUCGCGGAGUAGGUCUAGUUUGUGAAAUGCAGGACCGAUUCUGGUAAGAAUCUCGGAGGUCCAAACUAUAUUGGAUUUUAGCUUUCCACGCUUCACAAAGCUUAUUAAGCCGUUCCCAUAGUGAGGUUUCCUAUAGAAUUUGGUCUCUCACAUGGAAUUCCAAAGGUUCUUUCUCUCGAUUAAUUCCCAGUCAAGGGCCAUCCCUUGCUGGGUCAAAGUCGAAAGGGUUCUUGAAGUUUGCGGGGAGUUUCGAAUGGGCCAUGAUAGUAGGCCUGUAAGACUUAGAAUUUGGCGAAUUUUUCCGUCGGUGACUACGGUGCCAACAAAUUCCAACGGUUUUGGAUAAUUUGACAUAGUACUCAAGAAUUUCCACAACACUAAAAGUGUGUCUCAGGAAAUUUGUCUCUAAAUUCCAAAACUCUUGUUCAGACAACUUGGUGAAGAGUAUCUCCGAGGGUAAUGUUUCUAUGGAUUCCUUCUUACUACGAGGGUAGAUAAGUAUUCAUUAUAUGGAGAAAUGACGAACUGAUCCCAGUAAGAAAAGCGUACUCCACUCAUAUAGCUCAGGAAUACUAUGGGCGUAUUGGUCCUAUCCAAAGGGUAUCGCUACGGACUCGAAGUGUCCGUAUCGAGUUCGGAGGGUAGUCUUUAGGACAUCCUUCCCUAACACUCGAACUAGUGAUAUUUGGAUCUCAGGUCCAUUUCUGAAAGUAACACUUUCCCUGUGGUUGCUCGAUUAGCUCUUCUAAGCGAGGCAGAGAUAACGAUUUCUAAAGGAAAUCUAAACGAAGUCUCCGGUCGUCGAGGAACAUAUGAUGCACUCCAUCGACUUCUGGUAAGAAUAAGACCGGAGCUCUCAAGGGUGAGAAGCCUGGUCUUCUAAUUCGAUUGUUGAGUAGUUCGUGGUGUUGUCCGGACUGGUCUUGUAUUUUCCGUAGGUGUUUAGACUGAAGGCAAUCUGGUUAUAAGUGUCAUACUGGGUCCUAAGGUGGUUCCUAUGCCAAUGCAAUUACUUGAACUCCUGGACAGUCUCCAUCCUGAAGUUCAUAUUAGAAUUCAUACAUGACUCAAUGAUCACAAUUUCGGGUAUACGAGUCGUAUAUAAUUAAGACUGAACAGGUAGUUGAAUAACUGAUUCUUCCUUAAUCUCACAUCCCAUCGAGGGAAAAGAAAUUAAAGUGGAAUCAUCAAUUCUAAACCUGUAGAACAUUAAUUAUAUAUCACUCUCACGCAUACAUUCUUCAGUGAUAGAUCAACCGUAUGAAUCCUGGAAUUGAACUUGACGUACUGCACGAGCGAUAAUGUGGGGAUUCCUUUGGAAAGGAAAAGAACUGUAAGGUACUCUUGGUAUGAGUACUUCGGUGUUCUGAUAUGACGGCUUCGCUAAAAGACGUUUACUGAGAAAGAGAUGUACUUAUGAAGCUGGUAUUGCGAGGAUCGAAUUGAAUCGAGUCGUAUGAUAAUGUCAGAAUCAUAAAGAAACUUAAAGACAUUAGAUUUGAGCAUAAAACGUUUACAGACAAAAACAACCGUGCAACCAUGAUUAGAGUUACAGUACUUUAGAUUUGCUACAAGACUAUUGUUGCGAAUCAGAUAUACUACAAAAGACAAGUAUACGCAGCACGAACAUCCCUAAACGGACGGGAUCUCGCAAAAGAUAAGACUCUGUUGCACUAGUUUUGGGAUGGUUCAUAAGUCUGUUACAACGAAACGCCUAAAUUACGUUAACGUGGGUCUAGAAUAGACUCUCCUGCGGUGGUGGUUGGUAGUAGACUUUCGUCUGUGCCAACAAUUUCUGCCCCUGGGCAGUUCCUUUUGUAGUGACCUACUUUGCCAUAACCAUAGCAAACCUGGUUCUCCCGGGUGUUUGUCACUUGAGUGUCCUGAGCUGUUGGCGUCCUGCAGACACGGGCUGUAUCUCCUUUCCCGUUGCAGUGUGAGCACUGCUUCUCCCUACAAGGUCCAUGGUGGUGAAAACUACAUUUAAUGCAUUUUGGGAUACUUCCAGCAUAAAGCUUGGCUGGUUUAGGAACUAUUGGGAUGCCCGAAGGGUUGGUAGUUGGAGGUGCUGAUGUCGUGGCUGUGAAGGUUGUUACUGGUGGUUGUUUCCCGUUCGCCCUUCGAAGCGACUUGUCCUUAGAGUUAGUCCAAGACUUUCGUUUGAUACUCUUGGUCUUAGGACUUGGGGUAUCGUGGUAGUUUGUUGCUUGCUGAGGCACUGGAUUGUUACUUGGGUUGGAAUUGUCGUUAACAAACCCGCUAACACUUGCGUUGUUAGCGUUCAUGUGGGUCAGAAAAGCUGACACGGCAGCCGAGACUGCAGUUUGAAAGGUAGCUGCAUCAACCUGAAGCGUUGGUGUUGGGUUGAUGGGUUGAUCGUUUUUCUUGGGAUUCAUGAUUCUGUUACACCGAAAGAAAAAUGAAUUUGUGAGCGAAAAUGGUUGAACCUAGACGUAGUUCGAUCGAUCAUGUAAAGAAUAGAAGUAUGUUCUCUAAGGUUCGACCUACAUCCCUAUGAUGCAGUCCUAGUACGGAAUGGAAGUAUGUUCAUGCAAUGGUCUCAAGAUGUUUGUUGUUCGAGCCGAGGUAUUGUUGGUUGGUGAAUAACAUGAUCCAAUCAUUACUAGAGACUUGGAGAUGUCUCCGGAGUUAAAUGGCUAUAGUCGAAUGACUUGACUAGAGCAUGUUUCAAAUAGACUCUAAAGAAAGUCUGAUAAGAGUAUUCGAAUAACGAACGACACAGAAGUUAGCUGACUGUCAAUAUCUUUGAUAAUCGUGACGUACAGGUUUUAGGAAAAAUGACCUUGUAAAAAGGUCUUACAUCAUAACCAGAGAAGAUAGUUCCUGACAGUAUAAAGGGCCUAACUAAAGUACUUACAGUACAAGAUAAUUUCAUAGAAAAUAUCACAUCGGGCAUAGAUAGAAAGACGAUUCCUUUCUAACAAGGAAAAAUAAAGUAAAGUAUCUACUACUAGCGACGGUCAUCCCUCUGGUGAACUCUCAGUUCAGCCAGUUGGCGUUCCACAUCAAGUAGGUGUCUUUCGUACACUCUCUGGCGUACCCGGAGUUCCAUGACUUCGGCUCUUGAUUCAGCCAGUGUUUGCAACAGGGUUUCAUAGUCUCUCUCGGACCUCUCACGAGCAUGUUUCAAGGCGACUGGUGCGAAGCAUAUGCAUUCUUCUAUUUGUAUCGAUUUCUGCGAUACGUUGUAGAGCUGUCCUACCCUGAAUUUCGUUUCGGGCAACUCUUUGGAUCAGAAUUGGCAUGAUUCUAUCUGCUGAGCCCCCAUUGCUCAGGUCAUAGGGGCUUCGGUCACCAUUAAAUGGCAUGGACUGAUCUUGUCAUUGGCUCCGCGUUUCCAAACAUUCCACCCACUCAGGCGUCGGGCCGCGAAAAGCCAGACGAGGGUUAGGAAUUGGAAAGGGAGCUGCCUGGGGUAGGUUCUCAACCUCGGGUUCGAAGAUGGCAUCCUCUGAAAGGUCUUCGGCAUGGUGAUCAUUCAGAGGGAUUGGGUGAUCAUUAAUUGGUUCUUCUCCAAACCAUCCAACAAUAACAGCAUUCGGAAGGAACAGGUUGUUGUGGGGAUGGAAUCCAUCCAUGUUAUCUACGCGAGAAUUUGGGGAUAUAAGAAAUAGCUACAUAGACGAACUGACUAAGAUAAUUACAGUAAGACCAAAUACCCCUAUGGUAUUUCUUUAUGGUUGUGUUGGUAACUUUUUGGACUUGUUGCCAUAUCACAACCAUUCUUGGGCAUAUGCUAAUCACUCCUCGGAACAACAUAGUUGAUCAGGCUAUGCCACUCCCAAGACUGACCAUAUACCCCAGGCUUAAUUGUGAUAUUCAACAAUCCGAAUAUUUUUGUUCUUGUCGUUGUGACACUGAUUUUAGUAUGAAUGCAGGCACGUAUACAUGGUUAAAUAUUUUAUUAUUUAUAAGUAUAAACUCUUAGACAGAGUAUUUUAAUCCCGAUGUGUCUAUAGUUAGCAUAUCUUUUAUGGUUUGAUAUACUUAAUUCACUAUAAACAAUGCACUGAUACCAAUCUGUCACACCCCAAAACCACGAACGGCGAAAACGUUCAGGGGUGGAGGACGUCAUGUACAGUAUCACAACAGUGUAAUAUAAUAAACAAGCAACAACAUCAUCCAUUGCAUUAUAAGUAGAGUUUUAAUACAUGUGUGUUAUUUCAUAAUGUACAACAAUAAAAUGAAUAAUCAAAAUAAGGCGAGUCUUGUCUGUGCUCCAUCUUCUCAAAAACCUGGCCAUUGCACCUGUCUAACUGAUGACCUAAGAAUACAAGUUAUUUUGAAAGCAAGUAUCAACUUUAAAGCUGGUGAAUUCAUAAGUAAUUAAAGGUCAUUGUCUUGCCUAAGAAAAUUUGUUAUGAAGGACAUGUAAACCAUUAAAUGAAAAUGUUGAUGUAAGCAUGAGAAACCCUAGAAAAUCCCUUAUUUUCUAUCAAUUGGAGAUGUAGUCUUCUACCAAGACCCGAAUGUUUUGUUAUGACUAUGUAGUCUUCUACCAAGACUCGAAUGUUUUGUUAUGAUAAUGUAGUCUUCUACCAAGACCCGAAUGUUUUGUAAGUAAGAUGAUAGUUUUUCCUUCAAUUGUUUAGUACUAAAGUACUUAGUCUAACUCAUCGUUUAUGUGAACGUAUCACAAAAUAAAGUAAACACGAAAAUGUACUACUGUAAGUGUUGUCACUGGGAACUAGGACUAACACAACAUAUGUAAUUGUUAUCCCGAGGUACUAGGGCUAACACAACCUAUAUAACCUAAUGAACACCCGAAGAUUGUCCAAUUGUCCUCUGUAGCAGCAGCAGAGCGGAGGAAGGGUUAGUCCCUGUAAAGGUACUCCUAGUAUAAGUAAUAACCGUAGGCAUCCGUAGAUGUUCAUAGACCACUGGUGCUAAUCAGUUGGGAUUCGGAAUGGUUAGUCCCGUCUAAAUAUCCCGAGGUACUGGGGAUAGGGUCCCGUCUAAAUAUCCCGAGGUACUGGGGGAUAGGGUCCCGUCUAAAUAUCCCGAGGUACUGGGGGAUAGGGUCCCGUCUAAAUAUCCUGAGGUACUGGGGGAUAGGGAGGAUAAGUUACACAGAAGGUACUAAUAAUAAUCCUCGCAAUUCGAGAUACAAGUAUUCAUGUAAGUAAUACAUAGGUAAACGUAUCUACGUAAAGGUACUCAUGUAAGGUAUUCAUGUAUCAUGUAAGCAUAUGUAAACGUACUCAUGUAUCAGGUAAUGUACUAGUAUAGACUCAUGAAUGAACUGACUCUUGUGUGAUUCCUUGUAAUAGAAGUAAUGUUUGAUAUCUUCAAAUUAUCCCUAUGAUAAUUUACUGUAAUAUAACUGGUUGAUCAUGUAGGUUUAUACACUCUUACUACUCAAGGGUGUGGGAAACUAAAUGAAAGAUGUAAACUAUAAUCUAUAACAUAUAUAUGAACAUAUGCAUAUAAGUAUAGUUUUGUUCAAGAAGGUAAAAAUAAUGGUUUUGCAAGAUAUCUAGGAGUUUUGAACAAUAAUUAAGAAUGACUUGAUGUCAUUUUAAUAAACAUUUCAAAACUAAUACUUUUGUUAUCAAGGUAUUUUAAGAUAGAAAACCAUUUCAUGUGUCACCUUUUGAAAUAUGUGAAAUCUACUGAGUGAAAACACAGUUAUAAAAUACAUAAGAUUGAUUUAAUAACNNNNNNNNNNNNNNNNNNNNNNNNNNNNNNNNNNNNNNNNNNNNCCCCUUUAAAGCAUUUAAAAUCAUUUAAAACAUUGAUUAGGGGUAUGAACUCACCUGUAGUUGGUGAUUGGGAUGAACUGAACGGUAUAGGAUUGCUAGGUGUCAAGCGAGGACUUGUACACACACUACGAUCCUAAUGAACAUAUAAUCACACAUAUAUGCACUCAAUUAGUCUCAAAUCACUAAUUGAUAAUGUUAAGACAUCCUAGACAUAAUAAACACUUUAUAUAAGUGUUUUAAGCCCUAAGGAUUGCAUCUAAGCUUUUGUGGGACAAGGUACUUGUGUUUAGGGUUCCAAAGGACCCCAUAUAUGAGUUUACUCCUCAUAUACUAACACACAUGGAGUUUACAGUUGUAAACUCUUCAGUUUACGGCCGUAAACUCCCAACCAUAGGGUAUUUGUGUGUUUUUGAAGUCCCAAAUGCUUUCUAGUAUUAUUCUACCUUGGUGGUUCCAUCCUUGAAGGGGUUUAAGGUCUAGAAACACUCCAUUUAGGAGUUUACGGCCCCAAGGCCAUUCCCCUUGGAGUUUACAGCCGUAAACUCCCUUGUGGUGUUGUUUUUGUUGUUUUCAAGCCUCAUGCAUUUGAAAGAUAGGUUCUAGUCAAUUGUUUAUAGCUAAUGAGGACCCUAGGCACACUUUGGUGCCUUUGUUUGGUGUUUACGGCCUAGGAGCAUUACCAAGGCCAUAAACUCACUUCAAGAGGUGAUUUUGAUGCUUUCAAGUCUCUUGCACAUGUGGUAUAGGUUCUAGGAUUUUAUUCCAAGCAUAUGAAGGCAUUAGGCACACUUUGGUGCCAUUCUUUCAUGUUUACGGCCCAAGAACAAAGUCUUGGCCGUAAACUCACUUUGAUAAGUGAUUUUGAUGUGCUUUGGUCCUUCAAUUAAGUGGGUAACAAUUUCUUGUAAAGGUCUAGGGCUUUAGGUGUCAUAAAAACACCCUUUUGUCCAUUUCAAUGGAGUUUACGGCCUAAGAUUGCUCUUGGGUCGUGAACUCCCAUGUGUUUGUGUUUCUUGAUUGUUUUCUUGUCCUAAAAACAUAUACAAAGGAGGCUAGGGUAUUAGCAUAACACAAAGAACAACCUCGGCUCGGUUUCGGGAGUUUACCGCCCAAGAACACCUUGGGGAGUAAGCUCCUAGAUCUAAUGAUUGAGCCAUCUAAAUCAUGUUAUAAGCACACAAUAAGCUCUCUAACACUACUAGAAAGAGGUACUCACAAUUUGGGAUAAAUACCCGAAGAUCCGUCAGAGAGAAAAUGGCUUUUCUCUAGUUGGAAAUGUGAAUAAUGAAUGAAUUUGGUUCAGAAAUCUAUUUAUAGUCCUGAGAUAUUUUUGGUAGAAAAUAUUUUAUUCCUGAAAUGACCUCUAAUAUAAUAGAAUGAUGGAUUAAUAGAGUUGCACUAAACCCUAGUGCAACCACUCUCCUGAUAUCUCCUUAAGUGUAAAUCCUGAAAAACUGCCAAACUUAUACCCGAAGUCUGGGAUUUCCCUGAAACUGUUCUAAGCUCUAUUGUCUUGAUAUGGUUUGUUCAGAAUGGAAAUUUCGGGUUGUCACAGUAGAAGAAACUGAAACCCUAAUUCAUAGAUUUCGAUCAAGCAAACUAAGCGACACUACACCCACCAUAUUCAAAUCAAUCAAAUAAAGAGGAGUGAAAAUAUGUAAAUGCUUUACAAAAAACUUAAAUGUGGAGAUAGGGUCGUCGAUACUUAUCUUGGUGGUGGACUUUGGCACGACCGACGGCGCCAUACAAAUCAAUGAGUCCUAUUGCUUUCGCCCAAGUGAGUUUCCAACGAGCAUCACCUCCCUCAACUUCGUUCACUAUCGCCGCCCUCAACUAAAUAAGGUAUCAGAGGCAAGGGACUCGACCAAAAUAGGGUCGGGAUGCAGUCUCCGAGACAAUGACGUUGAUGAGUCGCAAUCGCCGGUGAUGUGAGGUUAGCCUAAUAAGGUUGCCGGCCGGUGGGAUGAAGUGUUGCAAUCGUACUCUAGCUCAAUCGUCUGGAGAAUGUUGACGUGAAAAAACCCUAGUUAUCGUGUGGGGGCUUUUGUUUUGUUAGAGGGAACAAGGGAUACUGAGACAGGAUCAACCAAAAGAUGGAUUUAAUUUUUUUUGGACAAAAUGUUUCUAACCAAUUAACAAACCCUAAAUGAUUCUUAACAAUUAUAUUGUCGGAAAGUAGGGUAGAUGGGAAGAGGAGAGGAUGAGGAAUACUAUAUCUUUAGUUGUAAGCAUUAGGAGUCGUAGUACCCCAAAUGCUAGCUCUACAACGUUCGUCUUUGGGAGCAAGUACAAAAGCCCUAGUUGCUGGUCUCCAUUUUGUGAUCUUUAGGAAUGAUUGCAAGUUUUUAAUAAAAAAUAUUAUAGAACAAUUAUAUGAGUUGUGGAGGUUUAUAACAGCAAUGGUUUUUGAUUAGGGUUUGCAGAGAGAAUGGAAGAAGAGAACGAAGGGAGAUCCUGAUUGAAGCGGGGUUUUGAGUAAAAAACAUAAAGCGACAUUCACAGAGGAAGCACGUUUUAGAUAAAGUGCCCUCCGUGUUUUUAAGUUUUUUUUACAUGAGACACUAAUUUAAGGGCGCACAAUAAUGCGUGACGUAAAUCCUUAAAUUUUUUGAAGAGAUGACACUUUUUUAAUGUUACUUUCUUUUGCGUAACAUAAAUCAAUGAGUGUCAUGGUUUGCAAGUCGUAAAAGGGUCUUUUUCAUCUAGUGUCAGUCCAUAUGUGUUUAGAUUUGUCACUAACCUAGUCGUGUGAUUAUGGUUAUGACAAAUUCACAUGGAUAUGAACACAUACACCAUUAAUCUAAGUGACAAAGGUUUCUUUACAUUUCAUGAAAAUGAUUGUGAGGAAGCGUUUUCAAUAAGUAGAUUUUAAAGACUUAGCAAUUGUGAUAUUUGCAUUCUCAAGUUGGAUUAUGAUUAUGGCAUCCCUUGUAACGACCCAAUAUUUCAGUUCAAUGUAAUGACUAAAUGUUAAUAUUGUAAUCCCUUUGUGAAUUAAUGAAAAUAACAUAAAAAAUGAAAUGUUCAAAAAUCUCAGUUUGAGUGUACUAAGUGAUAGAAAUCGUAAUAAGGUUUCCAAAAAUAUAAAGAACACUAAAAUCUGAGUUAUAACGAAAUAUCAAUAAAAUACCUUUUACCCUUAGGUAUCUAAAUGAAAGUCGUAGAUAUCAUUAAACGGUAAACGUACAUAAAAAGAGCGUUCAAAUCUGACUUCAUAUGAGGAAGUUAUGAUUUUUCAAAGUUUCAGAAUAACGGUUGACAGCUAAAAACUCGAAAUAGAAAUCGAGAGAUUUUUAGCCGACGCAACCUAAACGAGAACCGAAGAUCUCUAUAAUAGUGAUACAAACGAAGAUCUCGACAAUAGUGAUACAAGGGUUGACAACUAAAAAAGUUAUGGAUUUUUAACGCACUUUUCCAGUGCCGGUCUGUUAAAAUUACAUUAUUAAAAAUAAGUUCAAAACUAGCCGACGGGGUCUAAAUGAAAGUUGUAGAGUACAGUCUCACCUACGCGUGGAUAUAAAGAACGUCAAAAACGGAACUCAUACGCAAAAGUUACGGAAUUUAGAAGUUUCAAAAUUCAAAUUAUGCCCCGCGUAAUGUGUUACGCCCUGCAUACCAGAGGAUAAGAGCCUCGUCCCAUCGGCCAUCAGGCUCUCCCAUCGGACAGAAUCCCUCCCAUCCGAGGCGUGUAAGAAAUGACGUCCGUUAUGCCCCGCAUAACCUCGAACGCACAGCGUACCGAGGCAGUUCAGCCACUAUAAAAGGGGUGCGAGGGUUCCGGGCAUAAUUGCUCAUUUCUUCUCUUUCUCGUGUUGUUGCUAUGCAUUUAACCCCUCGAAGCCAUCCCGACAUGCUGGUUUUCAUAUUCAAGUUCUGAAGGAAGUUUUACGCUCCCCAGAUUCCCGAGAAUCCCGAGAAAUCAACUUCUCCAAUCGAAGUUCUGCUCCACUUUUGUCUCACAUUCUUCAAACUACCAGGUGAGUUCAUACCCCCAUUUCUACGCUUUUAACUGAUUUUAAAUGAUUUUGAACACUAUAUGGGGGGGGAGGAAUAAAAGUCAACACACGGUCAAUCCCAUGUGAACACAUCAAUCUUUUUUCAUACAUUUCAUGUCAUUUUUAUAACUAUCAUAUGGAUCAUGUUAUCAUGCAAACAUCUUACACCACUUUACCCUCUCAGGAUGAAACAUAAUUAUGAAUAUUUGAAGUUUUAUUUAUAUGUUUGCAUCAUAUCAAGGGUAACCAUUUUUACUAUUACAUUCGAAAACAUGCAAGAACAUACAAAUCAUUUUUAUUCCCUGUCAACACUAUAGAAAAGGGUAAUUAUUUCAGAGACAAACAUAUUCAUUCUAAUACAUGACUUAAUUGAGAAUUCGUGAGUCAUUAAUCUUCAAUAUACCUUUUAAGGUACCGCUAGAAGUCCUGUUUAUAACCAGAAUCUCCCGUCCGAAAAAUGUGACAACUGUGUAUAGAUCUAUACGGGACUAAUGAUCUCGCGCCCUGACUGUUAGCUAUAGUCCCUUAGGUGACAAGUGUCAUCUCAUUUCGACGCCUGAAGAACGUCGCUACAGGAAAAUUAUGAUAGUACGGUUCUAAAAACUCAAUGGAUAGACAAUUAUUAUGGUAUUGUGUUUUCACGGGAAAAGUAACAAAUAGUUCUUUUCACAUUCAAAUACAAAUCUUCUUAUAGUUUUGUAUUAUAAUAAGACUAUACAUGAUUCUUUUGAGCAUAUCAUAGUUGCUUACAGGUUACGGUUUUGGACAUUUGAGACUGCAUUUUACUUUUAGGAAAAUAUAGGAUUUUCUUGGAUUAAAUACAUACAAUAUAUACAACAAUCAUUUAUACACAUUUCGUACACUCAUAUGAAAAUAUCGGAUAUUCUGGAAAACGAACGUGAAUUUUCCAAUGGCAUACAUUUUCUCAAUACACUACUUAUGAACUCACUAAAUUUAUUGUUGACACUUUUUCUUUGAAAUAACUUGUAUUCUCAGGAAAGCGCUAAACCAGGUAGCAACUACUUUUGAAGACUUAUGCACUGGCAUUAGUAACAUAUUUUGGAUCACCAUAUUGUAUUUGAUAUUUAAACAUGUAACAUAUACGAUCAUGUAAAUUUUUCAAAUAUCUUUAUAUUAUGGUGGUGUGUAGUUUCUUUACUAUUCAAUUGUUAUGAUACUGAAUAUGACGUCCUCCACCCCCGAACGUUUCCACCGUUCUGGUUUGGGGGUGUGACAUCCCUAUUCAGAGUUCAAAUUGUGAGAAAUGGCAAAUAGUUUGGACAUUCGCGACUUAAUACAAUAAGUUCUGAAAUAGUCUACACAUACAUAUGAGCUUUCUAAUUUAAGGUGUAUAGGCUUAGAUAAAAGAUUAUCGAAGCAUCACGUAUCAGAAAUCUGAACUUUGGUAAUCAAAGUUAACAAGUAUUGAUUUGUAGAAGUCCAGUUAUUUCUAGAUACAUGUCAAAGCUAGUGGGAGCAUAAGUGUUAUGCUAACAAGAAUGUAAUUAUCAUGCUAGUGGGAGCAUAAUAAUUACGUUAAGUAUUGCAAGUUAGCAAUGUUAAUUAUAGAAAACAAAAGUUUCAAUUCGCAAAGUUGUAGGGUUUGGAAAAGUUAUUUUGCUAUAAUUAAGGGAGAGGAAUUCAUACUUCAUUUCAAUUCUAAAAGCUUAGAUUGAGAUUUUAAUCAAAUUUAGUCAAGAACAAAUAUGAAUGUUAUGUUGAAAUGAUUCAACAUAAGGCAAUUCUAUAUAUGGAAAUAUUAUAGCAAGAGACUCGUCGAGCAUCAUGUAUUUAUGUAAGAAAUUAUGAAUAGUAUCCCAUAUGCUUUGGGUAUAUGGUUGAUUGCAUAUGCCAUUAUAUUAAUUUGUUCUAAUUUUCCAAAUGCCUGGGGCGUUAAGAGGGAAAAGGAACUAGAACGAGAUACGACUAAAAUGGUUAAGCAAUUAUCGAGGAUAAUUUGAGGUUUACCAAAGAUUGGCUACUUAUGGACAAUUGGAACUAUAGUGUAAAUUUUGGAAGGAGCAUAUUUACAGACUCUGAGAAGAGGUAACUCUUGUUCAUAAGUGAUAGUCAAAACGGGAAUAUGGAAAUGUUUCCAUAAGUGGAAGUUUGUAACACCAGUUAAAAUAGGUCAAUAGACAAUCACAUGUGAUUAUACACAGUGUUCUAAAAGGCGUGCCAUGGCGGGCGCCAAGGCGCGCCAUGGCGUGAGGCGUGGCGUCGCCGUUACGAAAAGCUUCAUAACGUUACUGUUAGGCGUGCCGUGUGGCAAGGCGUGAUAUGGCGUGCCAUGGCGCAUUAUGGCGUGUUAUGGCGCGUGUUUUUUCAUUUGAGACACGUUUUUUUUUGCUCUUUUUUAUACCUUUUCUAAUCGGACAUACAAGUAUUGUGUUUUUUAUUAACUUUCUGUUAUUAGUUGUGGAUAGAACACUUCUACAAACUAGGUAUAUUUGAUAUAAAUUUAUAUUUAUGCGGUAAUAUAAUUAUAAAUUAAUACAAAAUCGCCGCCUUACAUCACGCCUUCAAAAACGCCAUGGCUCGCCAUAACUCGUUAAGCUUGAGGCUUGACCUUACCGCCACGCCACGCCUCACGCUUUUUAGAACCUUGAUUAUACCAAUCAUGUAAUGUGAUUUUGUAAACUAAUGUGAUAAGCGUACUAUUUAGUUCAUGAUAAAUUCUAAUACAAAUACAAACUUUCUUUAUAAUACAACUUAAUGUAUAUGUCCAUACAAUUCCAAGGAUAUAGAGAACAUCUGAAUCCGACUUCGGAUUAGGAAGUUGUGAUAAACCAGACACUAUAUAUCUCUUUAAAAAGAGGAAUUUAAAAUAUACUUAGAAUUAGUUGUUGGAGUCUAAAAUAGAGUUGUAGUACUCGUAAAUACCUAUACGUGGAUAUAAAGAACGUCAAAAACGGAGUUCGUAUGCGAAAGUUACGACCUUCCGAAGAUUCAGCUUUCAGAAACCCUAAGCUAACUAAACUCACGACGUGAACAAGGGUUUAUUCACGACGUGAGGAGUCAUUUUGCCACAUUUCGAAAUCUAGAAGGUCUGACGAGGCUGCGAUGGGAUAAGAUCCAAACUCACGACGUGAACAAGGAGAUUUUCACGACGUGAGGAGUCACAUGGCCACUUUUCAAAGUUAGGGACGCAAAUGGAAAGUCUACGGGGUGAACAUGUAAGACUCACGACGUGAGCCUGAUGAAACUCAUGACGUUAGUUUCUAAAAACCUUACUAUAAAUAGCAGGUCCGACUUCAGCCAUUCUUACACCUAAACAUCUUCUCUUUCUCUCUUUUGCUGAAGCCAUCUUGCAUCCCAAGCCCCGACAACCUCAUACACUGACCGUUUUUGCUUACAUAACAUAAAAUCAUGCUAAUAGGGUGAGUUUCACGGCCCCACUUUCUAAUAUUUUCGGGAAAAAACGCAUGGUAAAUAUUGUAUAUAAUUUACUAUUAUGUCUAUUUGAUAGUAUAUUAGUAUCAACGUAGAUAGUUAUAUUAACCGGGGUAGAGUUGUUUUGAAUAUUAUAUUUUGAAUAUAUAAAAUUAUUAUCAACUUGUUAGUAUGUUAUUAUAGUAAUGUAGAACUUGAGUUAUACUUAGGAUUCAAUAUAUAUGUUGUGUGCGAUAUAGUUCUGAAGUUAUAUUCGGAAGUUCUGUAUAGAAAGUAUGUUGCUAUUAUUGGUUUUAAGUCAAGAUAAAAUUGGAUAUGCUAUAUAUUAGUUUUAUUAUAAUAUAAAACUUGGUAUGUUAUAUAUUGUUGUUGUUAUUUGUUUUAUGUCAAGAUAAAACCUGGUUUUCCUUCAAGUUAUAGCUGUUAUACUGCCUAAAUAUUACGAAGUUAGGAGUAAUGUUUAAAUGCAUAGUCUAGUAACUUAGGGUUUUAGACACGAAAUGCUUUUGUUGUUAGAUCUAUAGGAAGUCGUCGAAGUCUACAUGAGUAAUUGUAUUCAUCAACUAAGAUUGGGGAUCUUAGCGAAAAUCCUCUAAACUGUAACCGCUAAUCCCGUGUGAGCGAGGAAGUCGUGUAUAAUUAGUAUACGGGCUGACCACCCCAAUUGUGAUUGUUAGCUACAGUCAACCAUAAGCGAGCGACGAACUUUCCUUUUACUUGUUAUUGUUCCGGCGUCGAUGAAGCGUGUGGUGUUCCUCAUGGUAAUCAUUAGUGGGUUGUCCUCAUGGAAAUCAUGAGUGGGUUUUUCUCAGAGGUAUUAUGUCAUAGCAACGGUUACAGGCUUAUUGUAGCGAAUUGUUAGAAACAUUACACUUUGUCGUAUACAAGUAUUAAUGUUAAGUACAAGUUUCCCCCUACUUAUACCCUAGGUUCAAGGAAUGUUUAGGUAUAACACUUAUUGAUAAGUAAACUAUUAUACCUAAUAUAUAUAUACUAAAUGUUGGAGCAUCAAAAUGAUACUUUCAAAACUAUACUUUUGAACUUAGAAAAAGUAUUAUUUUUAUACGGAGUCAAAACUUGUGGACUCACCAACUUUAUGUUGACGUAUUUUAAAAUGCAUUUGUUUUUAGGAACUUGAGAAGCUGGUAUGUAUUCGAAUGGGAGAAGUUUUAACAUUAUCUUUCUGUUCAUUAAGAUGUAUGCCAUAGUCGAAUAUUAUGUAAUAAGUACUAGGAAAAACAAUAAUGUAACUUUCAAUUAUCACUAAAGGUAUGUAUUUACUUUAGUACUGUUCAAUGCAUGUUAUAUAACUAUGAUACGAAGAAUGGCGUUACAUCAUCCAGUGUUUCCACCGACGGUCGGGGUGUGAUAGAUUGUUAUUAGAGCUAUUAACUAUAGUGAACUAGUACUUUCUUCGGAAAGCACGUCUAUAGCUUAGGUCUUACUCUAUUAGGUUUAGGUAUAUUCCUUAGCCUACAAUAAAAAGUAUUGUUAAUUAUUCUACUAACGAACUACUUACGGGAGCGGUGACAGGAUAGACAUGUCGAUUUGGGUUGUUGGAUUCCAGAACGGCUAUAUGCUAAAAUGAUCCUGCCCUUUCGACUGUCCUGACUAGCCGGAGCCUUAUCAGAUAGACCUGAAGUAACAAACAAUAAUUAAAGUGUGAAUACAAUAAAUAAGAAUAUAGAGUCAUAUAUAAAGACUCAGACAUGCGAUGAGAAUACACCUUAAUAUCCAGAAUGUUUUUGAUCUCAAGGAUUUAGAUCAAAUAUUCCAACUAAAGUUUAUAAGUGCAUAGAUCCUAUCACAACUAGGUGUAGGUGCGCAACUACAUUUUAUUAUCCUCAGAUCAUACGAACUAUUUAAUUUGGGAGUAAUAUUUGAUAGACUAAACACUUGGUGAUCCAAAAUGUAUAGGAAUUCGACAUGGCACAAUCACAAGAAUGGAUAAUCAUCGAGGAUAUGGAUGAAGAAGAAGAAGUCUCAUUCCCUAUGUUGGUUGGCGAUCCUUACUAUCCCACAAAUCCCACUAACUUUCAUCCAAUACCUUCUGACGAUGGAGCACCUAUACCUUCUAACGAAUGGGAAGAGAGUGAACCAAUGGAAGUAAGCGAGCCAAUGGAGGAGACAUAAUCGGUGGCGUCAUCUUUACCACCAAUUAACACUCUUUACCUUCGAGUUCCAGGAGGAGCAAAUAUGAAGCGCAUGGCUCGUAAAUCCAUACCGAUAUGGCAAAAGAUUAAGAAAUAUCUGAAGGCGACAUCUUCAGGAACCCAUAGAGUUCAAGAUGAACCUGCACGGAUAGCAAAAAUUGUUGAUAGGUGGGUGGCAGAAGAAAAAGUUGCUAGGAUGUAUGAGACUGGUCAGUCAUCUCGACCACAUCCCCCAAAAUCGUCUGAAGUUAACACCUUAGCUCAAUUGUUUGAAAAAAGUGUGAAAAUAGAAGAUAAGAUGGAAAUUGUCGAAGGAAGGGCUACUCAUCUCUCCAGAAGACUGUGAAGGCUAGAAGGAUAGAGAACACGAGAUCAAGAAUCAGUGAUGGAUGUCGAUCAAUGUAUAAACUUCGCUUACAACGAAAUGAUUACUUACGAUACAAGGCUUGCAGAGUUAGAAAUCUACAAUCAAACCUCAAGAAAUGUGGAGCACACAGGAGGUCUUGAGUAGAGACUCAAGCACUUGAGGAGCAAGUGGUUCAUGUCACUGACGUGUUGGAUCAUCACCUAGGUUACUGGUAGAUAAACUAGAACUAGUGGUUGUGUAAAUAGAGAAAAUCAGACUAGCUGAGGCAAGAAGAGUAAAGUUUAUAGCAAGGAUGUAGAACACCUUGCAAAUUUUGCAAUGUUUAUAGAAAUGUUUCUCUUAUAUGCCUAAAUAAACUGAUGUAACCGUUGGUUAUAAUAUAAAAUAUGUUACAAUAAUCAUUAUGUUAUGCUCUAUGAAGAAUAAUUGAAAUGUUAAUACUCGUGUAGUAAAUGCCUAACAGAAGGAGUGCUCGACUAAACCCUAAUCAACAAACAGCACCACAACAACCACCAGCAGAACCAAACCCCCCAAUAAGUAUAACAGAACUUGAAGAAAUCAUAGCUCAAAGAAUUGUUGCUGCUCUAUCUAAUGUCACAAGAGGUGGAGUUAGAAAUGAAGGCAAUGUAGGCACCACAACAACCACCAGCAUAACCAAACCCCCAAUAAGUACAACAGAACUUGAAGAAAUCAUAGCUCAAAGAAUUACUGCUGCUCUAUCUAAUAUCACAAGAGGUGGAGUUAGAAAUGAAGGCAAUGUAGGGACCGCUAGAAUGUGUACCUACAAAGACUUUAUGAAUUUUAAACCUCAGGUCUUACAUGGAAACGAAGGGGUUCUUAAUUUGACCAGGUGGAUUGAAAAGACAGAGUCCAUCUUUCAAAUAAGCUUAUGUCUAGAUGAUUGUAAAGUACGAUUUGCAGCAUGUACUUUUACUGAUGCAACACUUACAUAAUGGAAUAGCCAUGUAAAUACAAUGGGAAUUGAUACUACAAAUUCCAUGAAAUGGGAAGAGAUAAAGAUGAUGCUAGUAGAGGAGUAUUGUCCUAGAGAGGAAAUACAAAAGCUGGAACAGGAACUGUGGACCCUAACCAUGAAGGUUUCAGAGAUAACAACUUAUACUGCCAGAUUUAAUGAUGUUGCAGUAAUGUGUCCAACACUUGUAACCCCUGAAUAUAAGAAGAUUGAACGAUACAUUUGGGGUUUAGCAUCGCAAAUCAAAGGCAUGGUGAUGGCAUCAAAGCCUACAACUUAUGACAACACCAAGAGAAUAGCUCACUAUCUAACCCUCACAGAGAUCCAAGGAUCAGUAGUGGUCUCAAAGGCUAAGUCUCCCAAAUAUGAAACAAAGAAGCACAAGUUUAAUGGGAAGAAUCCCAUAAAAUCAUCUGAGAAAAGACAAGAAGUAGAAACCAAUUAUGCAACCACGACGGCAGAAACCCCUCAAUCAAAAUCUGCAGGGUGCAACCACUACAACCGUCAUCAACCUGGUGACUGUUUUGUUUGCACAAAAUGCAAAAAAAAGGGGUAUACUGCUAGUCACUGCAGGAGCUCAACACUUGCAAUAGUCAAUCAGCAAACAAAUACUAGAACAGGUCGUGGUGAAGAAAGAAAGUGUUAUGAGUGUGGAGAGGUUGGACACAUCAAGAAAGAAUGCCCAAAGUUAAGAAGUCAAGGAGGCAUAGGGCGUGUGGCACGACAAUUGUCAUCGGAAGUAGAGAGGCUAUCCAGGACCCUUCGGUUGUAUCUAGUAUGUUUCUCAUAAAUAAUUUAUACGCUAGCAUACUCUUCGACUCUGGAGCAGAUAGAAGUUUUAUAACUCCGAUAUUUAGAAAAUUAUUAAGUCAUGAGUCUAGCAAAUUAAAAGAAAUCUAUGAAGUAGAAAUCGCUAACGUUCAAACCGAGAAAACACAUGAAAUACUAGAAAACUGUCUAUUAAGUCUUAAUAACUACGUUUUUCACGUCAACCUCAUGCCAAUGCCUAUUGGUAGUUUUGAUGUCAUAAUUGGCAUGGAAUGGUUAUCUUCAUACCGCGCCGGAAUUUUAUGUUAUGAGAAAGCCAUACGACUACCCUUACCAAACGGCGAAGCCCUGAUUAUCUAUGGUGAUAAGGCUGGGAAAAACCUCAAAGUCAUCUCUUGUACCAAGAAACAAAAAUAUCUAUAUAAGAAAUGUAGCGCAUUCUUUGCCCACAUUGUAGAUAAGAGAAGAAAGAUAACAGAAAUCAAGGACAUACCUCAAGUAUGUGAUUUCCCUGACGUAUUUCCAGAGGAUCUACCUGGAAUACCACCUGUCCGAUAAGUCGAGUUUCGAAUCGACUUAAUUCCAGGAGCAACACCAGUAGCAAAAUCUCCUUACCGGUUGGCUCUAUCCAAAAUGCAGGAAUUAUCUAGCCAACUACAAGAACUUCUUGACAAAAGCUUUAUUAGACCAAGUUUUUCACCUUGGGGAGCACCAAUAUUUUUUGACAAGAAAAAGGAUGGAUCCGUUCGAAUAUGUAUUGAUUAUCGGGAGCUAAACAAGCUACUACUCAAAAAUAGAUCUUAGAUCAGGAUACCAUUAACUCAGAGUACAAGAAGACGACAUUCCAAAGACAACAUUUAGAACUCGUUAUGGUCAUUAUGAGUUCUUAAUUAUGUCUUUUGGAUUAACCAACGCCCCAGCAAUGUUUAUGGAUCUCAUGAACCGUUUUUGCAAACCAUACUUGGAUAAAUUCAUGAUCGUAUUUAUCGAUGAUAUACUGAUAUAUUCACGAACCAAAAAGAACAUGGUCAACACCUGCAAAUAAUUGUGGAACUACUAAGAAAAGAAAGGUUGUACGAUAAAUUCUCCAAAUGUGAGUUUUGGAUUAGAGAGGUACAAUUUUAGGUCAUGUAGUUAGUAACGAAGGAAUUCAUGUUAACCCAUCCAAAGUUGAAGCAAUCAGGAAUUGGGAAGCACCAAAGACGCCAACAGAGGUGCAUCAAUUCCUAGGACUUGCUGGCUAUUACCGCAGAUUCAUAGAGAAUUUUUUCAAAAUAGCCAAGCCGCUUACGACACUAACCCAGAAGGAUACGAAGAAGCUGCUUUUCAAAAACUGAAGAAAAUGUUGUGUAGUGCACCAAUCAUAUCCCUUCCAGAGGGGACAAAAGAUUUCGUCGUAUACUGCGACACAUCGAAUCAAGGAUUGAGAUGUGUGUUUCUGCAAAGAGGAAAGGUUAUCGCCUACGCAUCAAUAAAAACUUAAGGUGCAUGAGAAUAAUGUCACACCCCAAAACCAAGAACGGCAGAAACGUUCUGGGGCGGAGGACGUCAUGUAAAAUAUCACAACAAUCUAAAGUAGUAAACAAGCAACAACAUCAUCCAUUGCAUUAAUAAUAUAAUUAUUAUACAAGUGUGUUCUGUAAAAUUAUAAUAGACGCUAAAACAUAAAUCAAAAUGAAAAAUGAGUCUUGAACGAGCUCCAUCUUCUCUAAACCUUGCAUCUGUACCUGUCUACUGAUGACCUGAGGAUACAAGUAAUUUUGAAUGCUAGUAUCAGCUUUAAAGCUGGUGAGAUCAUAAGUAUUUUAGCGUCUUAAUUUAUAUGAAAGAAAUUGUUUGUAUAUGAACUGUAAGUAUUGAAAAUGUACAUGAAUUGUAAGUAUGAAAAUGUUUGUAAAACAAUUGUAAAUGUUUGAAAAACCCUAGGAAUCCCUAUGAUUUCUACUAUUAUAUAAGGGUGUCUUCUACCAAGACCUAACUGCUCUGAAUUGUAACAGCCCGAAAUCUCAGGUAUUGUUUAAAUUAUGUUUUUGGAUGAUUUAAGAGGGGACUCGGCGAGUUGGGGCCAAGACUCGCCGAGUAGGAUCGCAGACUUGGUCGCGGGUCCGCGACUGGACUCGACGAGUCCAGAUAUGGACUCGGCGAGUCGACGCUGUUCAGCAGAAACCCUAACCGUUCNNNNNNNNNNNNNNNNNNNNNNNNNNNNNNNNNNNNNNNNNNNNNNNNNNNNNNNNNNNNNNNNNNNNNNNNNNNNNNNNNNNNNNNNNNNNNNNNNNNNNNNNNNNNNNNNNNNNNNNNNNNNNNNNNNNNNNNNNNNNNNNNNNNNNNNNNNNNNNNNNNNNNNNNNNNNNNNNNNNNNNNNNNNNNNNNNNNNNNNNNNNNNNNNNNNNNNNNNNNNNNNNNNNNNNNNNNNNNNNNNNAGGGUUUAUGAAAACCCCAUUUGUUGAUUAGAUGGGUUAUUAUGUUAUUACCCAGAUGUUAUACCCUCUGUAAUGAGAUGUUUAGAAGUCCAGAGAGUCCCAUAGUUGUAUAUCUUGGGACCAUACGUAAUUCAGGAAGCAGUUGCUCGUCUGCAUGGCAUGGACUCGCCGAGUUGUUCUUCAGACUCGGCGAGUAGCAUGAAGAUUUACUGGGACUCGCCGAGUUGUUCUUCAGACUCGGCGAGUGGAGUCGGGGUGGCCCCGCGAUUCUUCCAGGAGUAACUCGUCGGGUCGAGGAGGGUACUCGACGAGUAGAUAAGGAAUCUCAGAAAGUUGGAGGACGUCUAGACUCGCCGAGUCGCCAUGGUACUCGCCGAGUCCGGUCGAGUUGACCGUUGACCGUUGACCAGAGUUGACCUAAGUCUGACUUCUUAGGGAUAGUCACCCUUAGAAGUUAUAAGUGUUAAUGAGAUAUGUGAUGUUAUAGGAAGGUUGUAGCUCGUCGGAUUGUGCACGAGUGAUUUCAGGAGUUGCUAGCUUUCAGCAUUUACGAGGUGAGUCUUCUCACUAUACUGUACCCGGAAGGGUUUGACUGUGUGACCGGAAGGUCGGAUAUGAUAUGUGAUAUGUAUG
rnacentral:lncRNA from 1 species